rnacentral:lncRNA from 1 species
UCUUACCGCUAGUACGCCUCAUUCACGAAGCCGGUCUAUAAGGUGGGUAUAAGGUUGUUGCCUAUAAAAUGGUGACUUAAUGGGUGUCCACUCUCACCCACCGCUUGCUUGAUCGGUGGAGGGUCGUUAGCCGAACGGGUAAGACAAGGACUUAUUAAUUCUCAUUCAAAGUAUGAUGAAUAUUAUAAAGUAACUAAAUGUUUUAUUAAAUUCCCAAUCUUAGUUACUUUAGGAAAAAUGUGAAUAAGGUGCUAUUCCAUGAAAUUACACUUUACACUUUGAUUAAGUCGUUGGUGGAGCGUGUGUGGUUAACCGGCACACUAACUUGGACUUAACAAGGUAGGUAAAGGGUGACUUAGGGUUUAUUAUAGUAUCGAUGGAGCGUGUGUGGUUAACCGGCACAUCGAUUGAGUGAUAAACUUUAAGGGUACCAAGUGAUUUGCAUGGUUACUUCACACCUCGUUUUGUGAUCCUCGGUAUCCCAGUCACAAAACUUGGAGGGCACACUCGAGAUUGAAACAUGCCUUUGAAAAGUUCAUUGAAUCUCAAAGAAUCUAGGAAUUUCUAAGAACCAUUCAAAAACCUAAUACUAAAAUAUUGCGGUUUUCGUGGUGGAAAUUGGUGAAUCGUCAUUCACCUACCUUUCAAAUAUGAUAUAGCUUAGAUUACGGCAUACCUCUUCUAAGUUAUAUUAUAUUGUGAUUGGAUCCUAGCCUUAAUAUUACAUUUGGGUGUUUUAUUAAGGACUCUCUUAUAUCUAAACUAAUCUUGUCCUCUUUCCUUCAGAUGUCUUUCAACAAUGCUUCUGGCUCUAAUCCUAAUGGCUCCUUUACCCUUAUGAACUUGUGUGGGAAAGUCACCUUUGAUGGAUCCAACUUCAAUGAGUGGAUCAGAAACAUCAGGAUGAUUACCCGCUACGAGGACAAAGAAUAUGUCCUUGACAAGGAGCUUAAGGAGAUUGAUGAGUCCACUGCAACUCCUCAGGAGAUCGCUGAAUUUCGGGCACAUGAAAGGGAUGCUACGAAAGUGGCUUGCAUCAUGAUGGCCACGAUGACAGCGGAACUCCAAAAGUCUUAUGAGGAUUUCUACCCUUAUGAAAUGCACCAAGAUUUGAUGGAAAGAUACCAUCAAAGUGCAAGACAAGAGAGGUAUGAAAUCAUCUGCUCCAUGAUAACAACCAUGAUGAAGGACGGGGAAUCCGUCACGAGCCACAUGCAGAAAAUGCAAAGGUAUGUGGAUCGUUUGCUGAAGCUUAAUGUGAACUUCCCGGAGGAUCUUGCAAUAGAUAUUAUUUUGCAUUCCUUACCAUCGUGCUAUGAUCAAUUCCGCAUGACAUAUCACAUGAACAAGGAAGAAGUCACCCUCAGCAAACUUCAGGGACUUCUCAAGACCGCAGAAUCAGGUCUUAAGGGGAAGUCGGUUGCUAUCACUCCUACUCAAAACUCUACUCCGGUUUUGGCAAUCGGGAAAAGUCGAGGGAGGAAGAGAAAGAGCUCUUCUAAGGGUACCAAGGUUCGGACCCUUGAUGGCUCUUCUUCAAGUGGAACCAAGAAAGGUUUCAUUACUCCUUCUUCUGACCCAAAAGAGGCUGAAUGCUUCUAUUGCCAUGAAAAAGCUCAUUGGAAGCGGAACUGCCCAAAAUACCAGCAAGAUGUGAAGGAUGGGAAAGUUAAACCCAACCAUGCAGGUAUUUACACUAUCAUUUCUAAUAACUCACCCCAUUCUAAUUCUUGGGUCCUUGAUACCGGGUGUGGUAUUCACAUUUGUUGUGACUUGCAGGGACUAAGAAGAAGUGAGGAUGUGGAGCAAGGAAGGAUAAACUUGAUCAUGGGGAAUAGGAAAGCUAUACCUGUUACCAAGAUUGGAGUUUAUACUUUAUCGCUAAGUAGUGGGUUUAGUUUAGAUUUGAAUAAGUGUUGUUAUUCGCCAGGAAUGGCAAGAAAUAUUAUUUCCUUUCAUGCUUUGUACAAACAAGGGUUUACCUUUUCAUUUAAUAAUGAAGUUGGUUCUAUAGAUGUUUUCUAUAAUAAUGUCUUUUAUUUUAAAGCAUUACCUUGUGAUGGUGUGUAUGAAGCUGUAUCUGUUGUAGAUAACUUGGGAAAUAAUGUUUUGUGUAUUGAUUCUACUAAUAAUAACUUGGAUAAAGCAUCUUUAUGGCAUUGUCGUCUUGGACAUAUAAGCAAGAAACGCAUAGGCCAACUCCAAAAGGAUGGAGUCUUGGAGUCGUUUGACCUAAAGUCAGAUGAUAGUUGCGAAUCAUGCUUACUUGGAAAAAUGACAAAGUCACCCUUCACAGGUUCGUGUGAGAGGGGUGAAGGUUUGUUGGACCUUAUACACACGGAUGUGUGUGGACCAUUCAAACAUGCCACAAGGGAUGCUAAUCGUUAUUAUUUGACUUUUACUGAUGAUUAUAGUAGAUAUGGAUAUGUCUACUUGAUCAAGCAUAAGUCAGAGACUUUCGAGAGGUUUAAGGAAUUUAAACAGGAAGUCGAGAAUCAAUUGGGCAGGAACAUUAAGAUGCUUCGAUCCGAUCGUGGUGGUGAGUAUCUUAGUUCAGAGUUCCUCGACUAUCUAAGGGAAUGUGGGAUAGUCUCACAAUUGACACCUCCCAGGACACCACAGUUGAAUGGUGUGGCUGAGAGGCGUAAUCGAACCUUGUUAGAUAUGGUUCGUUCCAUGAUGAGUCGAGCUACGCUACCAAUCUCAUUCUGGGGGUAUGCCUUAGAGACUGCCGCCCAUAUUCUUAAUCUAGUCCCUACAAAGAAAGUUGCCAAAACUCCUCACGAGAUGUGGACUGGUAAAGUACCUAAACUAGACCACAUCAAGAUUUGGGGUUGCGAGGCUUUCGUGAGACGCGAGACUCAUGAUAAGCUCGAACCUCGAAGCGAGAGGUGUAUUUUCAUCGGUUACCCACAGCGAUCCUUUGGUUACCUCUUCUACAGACCUAGUGACAAUGUGGUCUUUGUAGCAAGAAGAGGAGUCUUUCGAGAAAGAGAGUUUAUAAGCCAAGGAGACAGUGGGAGGCAAAUUGAUCUUGAAGAAAUUCAAGAAUCAAGCGGUGAAGGAACUUCAAACUCUAGCCCUCAACUUGAGGAGGAAACUCCUGUUGAGCCAAUUGACAAAUCUGUACCUCUGAGACGUUCCACGAGAGUUAGGAGUGCACCUGAGCAUUACUAUGGAUUCCAUAUUACUGCAGAAGGUGAGACACUUAUUAGUGAUGAGACACUAGUAAGUCAAGAUGACCCUAACAGCUACGAGGAAGCCAUGGCAGGCCCCGAGUCUGCUAAAUGGAAAGAGGCUAUGGAUAGCGAGAUACAAUCCAUGUAUGACAAUCAAGUUUGGAACUUGGUUGAAAAUGUACCAGGUCGUAAGACAGUAGGGUGCAAAUGGGUCUUCAAGAAGAAGACCGACAUGGAUGGUAAAGUACACACUUAUAAGGCUAGACUGGUUGCAAAGGGCUUCUCUCAAAUUCCUGGAGUGGAUUAUGAUGAGACCUUUUCUCCGGUAGCCAAGAUUAAGUCUAUUCGGGUUCUGUUAGCCAUAGCUGCAUUUCAUGACUAUGAAAUAUGGCAGAUGGAUGUCAAAACCGCUUUCCUUAAUGGAAAGUUGGCUGAAGAUGUUUACAUGAGUCAGCCAGAGGGUUUUGUCAGCAACGAGUACCCUAAUAGAGUGUGUAAGCUUGAGAAAUCCAUUUAUGGAUUGAAGCAAGCACCUCGCAGAUGGAAUCUUUGCUUUGAUGAAAAGGUCAAGGAAUUUGGCUUUUCUAGGAGUGAAGAUGAAUCUUGUGUGUAUGUCAAGGCUAGUGGGAGUAUAGUUAGCUUUUUGGUAUUGUAUGUGGAUGACAUACUACUCAUAGGAAACGACAUUCCAACCCUGCAGGAAGUAAAGUCCUGGCUUGGGAAGUGUUUCGCUAUGAAGGACCUUGGUGAAGCUGCCUAUAUUCUAGGGAUAAGAAUCUUGAGAGAUCGGAGUAAAAGACUAAUUGGACUUAGUCAGAGUACCUACUUGGAUAAGGUGCUGAAGAGAUUCAGCAUGCAGGAUUCCAAGAAAGGAGAGUUACCCAUCCAGAGUAACACCAGAUUGAGUAAGACACAAAGCCCUAGCACUGAGGCUGAGAUAGCAGAAAUGAGUCGAACACCUUACGCUUCGGCUGUAGGAUCGAUCAUGUAUGCUAUGACGUGUACUCGACCCGAUGUAGCUUUUGCCUUGAGCAUGGUUAGCAGGUAUCAGGCGAACCCUGGCAAGGCACACUGGACUGCGGUAAAGAAUAUCCUCAAGUACCUACGGAGGACUAAGGACUGGGUCCUUACCCUCGGUGGGAGUGAUGACUUGAGAGUUGUAGGGUAUAGUGAUGCUAGCUUCCAGACUGAUAGGGAUAAUUUCCGCUCUCAGUCGGGCUGGGUCUUUACCCUAAACGGAGGAGCAAUUUCUUGGAAGAGUUCCAAGCAAGAGACAGUGGCAGAUUCUACUUGUGAAUCAGAGUAUAUUGCAGCUAGCGAAGCAGCAAAGGAGGCGAUAUGGCUGAAGAACUUCAUUGGAGACCUUGGAGUUGUACCAGCUAUUAAAGAGCCAAUGGAAAUUUUCUGUGAUAGUGAAAGUGCUGUUGCCUUAGCCAAGGAACCAAGGGAUCAUGGGAGAUCCAGACACAUCGACAGAAAAUACCAUUUCAUUAGACAUCGGAUCGAAGAAGGACUCCUCGUGGCAAAGAGGGUAUCAUCGGAUGAGAACCCAGCAGAUCCCCUCACGAAGGGACUGAGUAGGGUUAAGCAUCUCCAGCAUGCUCGGAGCAUAGGGCUGAAGGAUGAUAUAAGUUUUAGUAGUUAGAUAACCCAGAAAUUUGUAAAGUGUAAUUGACAUUUGAUGAUGAAUAAAAGGUGUUUUAUUUAUGAGUAAAGUGUUGCUAUCUCUUGUCAAUCGUUUACUAUAUUUCUUUUGCAUGUUUUGACUUCCAGAAUAAUUUUGUUUGGUGUAACAUAUUAUUCAAACCUCCACAGUCGGUCAUAUGUCGGAAGUAGGUAUGAAUCAAGACUGUCAUGAUGGGUUGUAGAGGUCUAAGGUGUUGGACAAGGCUACAACAAUCAUGAGUGCUCAUAAGUUCUGAGCAUUGGACUCAACCCACGCUCACUGGAAUCACUUCAUGGAAUUCUAUCUCGAGUGAUCGUGAGACGGUAAUAUCAUAUAAGUCUUCAAACCUAGAGAUAUGAUUUGUUACUUACAAGUUGGUUAUGCAUUGACUGUACGAAACCGCAUUGGUAACUCGAUGUUAUAAAACGUACUUUUGUGUGUAAUUCAAUGAGUGGUAGAACAAACAUAUGAGUCGAAGUUUAUCUGUUCCUUCUUGGAUUAGAAGCUGAUAUCUGGGCCCCUCGAUGAUUUUGUUUUGACCCAUGUACCGGGCCCGGUCAGAACUAAGUUGAUGUGUUCAAUUAAGUUCUAUGUCAAACAAAUCGGAAAUCGGGAAACAAAUGCUGGACAAUAAGCAAGACAAUGUUCCAUGUAUUUGUCCGGCUGAUAUCUAGAACGGAGGAUUAUAUGAUCACUUAUCUUAAAUGGCGUACCAUCAUCUUCUCAGUUCCGAGAGACCUUGAAAGAGCUACGAUUGCCGGUCGGUUCCUGAAGUACUAGAGAUAUAGUUAUUAGACUUAUCCAAGUGGGAGACUGUUGGAUAAGGUGUCUAAGUCCAUAACUAUUUCGGGCUUGUACUUGACCCGACCCGGCAUGGUCCAUUUGGGUUGCAUGGCACCAUGCAAUUGGAUAGACUAAAUGAGAGAAAUAACACUUGGAGAUUAUUAAUAUAUUAUAAGUUCUAAUAUAUUAAUAAUAUUAUUUGAUUAGUUGAUCAAAGAAUUAAUUUGGAAUUAAUUAAGUGAUCAAAGGAUAACUAAUUAAAUAUAUGGGUUGAUUAUGUAAAUCAUCCAUAUCUUGUAUAGUGGGCUAAGAGGCUCCAUGGAUUAUCAAGUUGGGUUCUACCCAUAGGAUGCUCCAUGGAUGCUCCAUGGGAGUUACAAACCCAUGGGUCAUGGAAAUGAAGAGUCAUGACACAUUAGGGUUUACAUGGUGUAACCCUAGAUGUGUCAGCACUAUAUAAGAGUCCCAUUCUCCACCAAAAUCGGUUACACAUACAUACACAUAAGAAACUAGAGGGCUUGGCCGAUUUGAAGAAGUGUGUAUUAUCUCAAGAGUCUUUUCAAGAGCAUUUGGUGUUGUGUGAAGCAUUUGAGGCAUCACACUUGGGGUGGUAAGCUCACAAGGUUUCAAGGAACAUAAGCAACAACAAGGUAAGUUAUUCUAUCUUUCAUUCAAGUUAAAAUUGUUCCCCAUGUAUGCUAGAUAGGAAUAUAACCUUGGAAAUUCAACUUUGCAUGAUAAUUAGACAAACAUAGAUCCAAGGUUAUUAGGGUUGCAUGUACACUUAGGAAGUGUUAGAAUGCUCAAAACCCAUCAUACGUUUCAAUUGGUGAGUUCAUGCACUACAGCUAAAGAGAUAUGGGAAAGGGUGAAAGAAUUGUAUUCCACUGAUGAAGAUCUAGAACAUUCAAUUCAGACCUUGCUGCUUUCUUAAUUUGGCGAUUUCAAACAAAAGCACGAAGAGAAACUCGUUUAGACUUUUGAUCGGUUUAAUCAUCUUCUAACUAAGAUGAUAAAGCACGAGAUCGAAAGGAAGGUUAUUGAACAUAAAGUUGCCUUCAUGAACGGUCUUAGACCCGAAUGGAUGGAAGUCGUGUCCACAGUAAAGGCACACAAACAAUUUAAAUCAUACUCACUAGCGAAACUGGUGGGAAUUCUGAAGUCCCAUGAAAGUGCAGUGUCAAAGGAAACGAACGUGGUUUCCAGUUUGGGUUCGUUAGCUCUUGUUUCUAAAGGGAAAAGUGCUGUUGAGGAAGAAGAAGAAUUGGACCUUGCUGACUAUGAUCUACCUGGUGAAGAGUAUGCCCUGAUGGUUUCCAAUCCUAGAAAGUUGAUCAAAAGAAAGUUCACAGCCAACAAGAACCGAAACUGGAAGAGAAGUUAUAGUUCUGAAAAAGUGAAGGAGGAACCGAAGAUAGGUUCGAAGUUAGAAGAAUCCAAGAAAGAGGCGAAGGUUGGUGGUGACUCAGGAUUUGAUGGUCAUUAUUGUGGAGGCAAGAAUCGCUUUGCCAAGGACUGCAUGCUGAAGAAAAAGGCAGAAAAGAUUGAUGAGGAUGAUAAGGUAGCGAACCUCUUAAGACGAUUAGAGGAGAUCAAGAAAAUAAAAUCAACAGAUAACAAUAAAACCAUGAAUGCUUUGAUUGUACAAGAUACAGGUAACAAUGAUGAAUUCGGUGGAGUGGUAGUGUGGUCCACGGAUUCAGGGGACGAAGAAGUAAGAAAACCGAAUCAUGGCAAGGCGAUGCUAGUGAAAGAAGAAUAUGUUGCAGGAAGGUGUUUGAUGGAGACAAAAGGAGUAUCUCAGAUGAGAGGAUAUACAAUAUAUGGUGGGCUGGAAGAUGAGAAGGAGCGAGAGGACAUGUGUUUUGCUACGAAACUUGUCAGUGCACAGAUCAACGAAUGUGAUGAGUUGAUCAAGAAGGUACAAAAUAUUCUUUCUUCUAUGAAAAUACUUGUUACUAACUAUGAAAAGGAACUGAAUAGCUUAAAAUCUAAAUUUUCUAGUAUAAGUAGUAGUCUUACCCAAACUUGUGUCACAAACUCUAACCUGACUGAUCAAAUUAGCAGGAUAUUAUCGAAGAGUGAGGAGAGGAGGAUGUGGAUUGAGCAGAAGGAGAAAGAGUUAAUUAGGUCUAAGGAUGAGUCAAUCUAAUUGCUAAAAGACUCUAUUUUAAUAUCACUCAAUUGCAUCUUGAUUGUGAAAUAGGAAAGAAGAUACAUCGCAUGAUUUUACCCUUCCUUUAGUUAAAGGAGGAUGAAGUUGAUGUCGAAGCUUACAACUGUGAAAAUGCUCUAUCUUCUGACGAAGUCUCUCCUGCCUACAAAAUUGGUCUUGACAAAAUAGAGUCCUACAUAAAGUCUAAAGACCAUAAGGACAUGCUCAAAAAUCUAUUAGACAAAAAUGAUAGAUUGAAGUUAAAAACCGAAACUGUACAAAAAUUUGACUAAUUGAAUGCCAAACUAAGUUCAGAAAAUAAAAUUGAUGUUGAAAAUGCAUCUGAACUUAAUGAGGAUGAUGACAUGAGUGAAAUCUAUGUAGAAGAUGUGGUGGACUAUUCAGAAUUUGUCAAAAGCGAACCCGAAACUUACAAAAUAUGAUUUUUGAAAACUCUAAUGAGUUCGCUCGCUCGUCGACAGGCAAGACCAAAAUUCUCAAGGCAAAAGUUGUUGUGUAUCAAAAGGUUCAAACCACUCCAAAUCAAGUCUACACAGUUCAGGGAGUCAGUCCUUAACAAACAGCAAAGCUAACAACUAUGGUAGAAGAAGAUAAUGCAGCUGGAUGUGCAGAGUUCUUUUGGUUAGCACCAAUAGACAACGCUGAUGAAACAAAAGGAAUAUCUCAGAAAACCUCAUGGAGAGUGAAGGGUAGGUACGUGCCGGAACCACUUAACGAGCCUGCAAGAUACGAUGUGCCAAGCACAAGUGGCACCAAAACAUCUUUGGGCGAACCAAUGAUAGCUUCCAGUGAGACAUCAUCAUUAAAGAGCGAAAGCCAUGCUCAAGUUCCAAAGAAAAAAGCCAACAUUCAUAAAAAUCCAAAACAGGUGGCAGAAUGAAAACACGAACGAAAUAUGAGAUACAAGAAGAAUCUCUCAAAAAGAAAACAGUUUUGGAGAUCUCAAAAUCCUCAUUAUGUAAGGUAUGAAAGGACGCAUAAGUCACGAGGAGAAUCAAGAAGAAACUGAAAGGAGGAUUUUGGUCCUUGGAAUGAAAGGAACCCAAAGGAAAGCUUCGGUCCACAGAAAGAAAGCAACUGAAAGAAUGGUUUCAGUCCUCAACACAAUAGCAACCGAAAGAAUGGUUUCGAUCUUUAACGUAAUAGGAACCGAAAGAAUGGGUUCGGUCCCAAGUUCAAUCAGACGAACAGAAGGGAAGAGUGUUCCCAUUCUCAACCAAGGAAGAGUAAUAAUCAAUGAUCUAAUGUCGCUUCUAAACCCUAUUCUUCUCAUUCUCAUUCUAAUUCUUAUCCUUCAAAAGAUUUAAAGGGGAAAGGAAAGCUCUUUCCAGAAGACAACAAAUGCCCGAAAGAGAUCCAAAAGGAUGCAAACGUCAAAAUCUCAAACCUCACCUCUAAUGAAUCUAAGCCAAACAAAAUUAAAGUUUUCACAAUAAAGAGAAAAGAUGGAACAACUCUAAUUAAAAGAACUUAUAUGGUUGAUGUUUCUCUUACUAUUCGUUGUCCUAUAAAAGGCUCACAAGGACACAAGAAACUUUGGGUUCCUAAAUCUGCUUAAUAUUUUGAAGGUUAUAUAUGACGAGUAGUUUGACAAAGAAUGGUAUAUUGAUAGUGGCUGCUCGCAUCACAUGACAGGACGAAAGGAAGAAUUGAGAGAGUGUCGGUCUCUCAAGGAUAGUGGAAUUGUGAAGUACGGAAACAAUUUGUUUGGACCUAUCAAAGGCUAUGGAAUGAUUAUGAAUGGUGAUUUCUCAAUAAGAAAGGUCGCAUACAUUGAAGGAUUGCAACACAACCUUAUCAAUGUAUCACAGCUGGUAGUUGGGACUGGAUUGAAGGUCUUAUUUGAUGAUGAAGGCUCAGAGAUAGUCGAAAAGAAGUCAAAUAAAAUUCUAUUGAAAUCAAAGCGAAAAGGGGGAAAUGUACCCUUUAAACCACAAUCUAAUUCGAGGGAAACCAGCAGUCUGCUUGCUAACGAAGGCUCACUCAGACGAAAGCUGGUUAUGGCAUCGAAGGCUCUCUCAUCUUAAUUUCAAGGAUAUAGACAAGCUAGUUUUAGGAGAUCAUGUUCGAGGUCUUCGAGUUCUCAAAUUCGACAAAGAACAUCUAUGUGCAACUUGUGAAAUGGGAAAGCAAAGUAGACAAAGUGAUCCUUCUAUUAUCAACACAAAGGUGAUAGAACUAUUGGGACUGUUGCAUAUCGAUCUAUGUGGUCCCUCCUCUAUUGAAAGCAUUGGUGGGAAACAGUACAUUCUGGUCAUCAUUGACGACUUUUCUUGCUUCACAUGGGUGUUUUUCUUGAAGCAAAAAUCAUAGGCUACUCCUAAGCUCAAGCUCUUCAUAAAGCAAGUAGAGGUUCAACAGAGGAAAGUGGUUCGUAAUGUAAGAAGUGACAAUGGCUUGGAAUUCAAGAACAAGGAUUUCGAAGAUUUUCUAGCUGAGAAGGGAACGAAUGAUAAUUUCUCGGCUCCAUAUACUCCACAACAGAAAAAAAAUCAUCGAAAGGCGAAACCGAUCUUUGUGCGAAGCAGCUCGAACUAUGCUAAGCUUCAGUUCCUUGCCUCUGGAUUUCUGGGCUGAUGCUAUUGCUGCUGCUUGUUACACUCAUAACAGAUCAUAUCUAAACAAGUGAUUACCUAUUACCCCUUACGAGAUCUUGAACAAUCGCAAGCUAAAUGUGAAAUUCUUUCAUGUGUUCGGUUCAAGAUGCUUCGUCUUCAACUCAAAAGAGAAUCGAAACAAGUUUGAUGCUCAGGCUGAUGAAGGAAUAUUUUUGGGCUACUCCUUGCACUCGAAGGCAUAUAGAGUUCUAAACAAACACUCUAAGAAGAUUGAAGAGACAUACUAUGUCACUUUUGAUGAUAGCUAUGUCAAGAAGAUGAAGACAACUGAAGGUGUAAUGCAGGAAAUCUUUCCAAAGACCAGUCAAGUUACAGUUGCUAUCUCAAACCUUUUCGAGCAAUAUAUGCUUCUUUUUGAUGAACCUGAAAAUGCUAUCGAUUCUGAAUCCAAGGAGGAAGAUAACAAAGUUGACAGUCUAAAGCAAAUCAUUGACGAUGCUACACAUAAGAUGGCUGAUGAUCAACCAAAGGAAACCGAAAGGCCUGACUUAAGCGAACCUUCGGUUGACCGUCCUUCUGUCCAGGGGGAGGGUUCGUCUCUACCAAAGGAUCAAUGUUCUUCAUUCCAGGGGGAGAAUUCAACGUCACAAUCAUCUAGCUCAACCGAAAGUCCAAACGAAGGGGAACAUUAUGAUCCAGAUAUUGAACUAGUGUCAUCCUUCGAGGGGGAGAAUACACAUGUCAAUGAUGAUGAUACACUAUUAGACUUGGAAGAAGAAAUCAAUGCAGAUCUGGAUCCCUCUUGUGAUCCAAAUUACCCACCUCUCAUUAAAUGGACCAAAGAUCAUCCUCAAAGUCAAAUCAUAGGGGAUUCUUCAGAAAAGGUAUUAACUCGAUCACAGAUCAAAGCGAAACAAGCUGCACUAUUCUCUCAAGUAGAAUUUUUCAGGGUCAACUCUUUUGUCUCCAAAAUUGAACCGAAGACUGUGAAUUCGGCUCUUGACCAUUCUGAUUGGGUUUAAGCCAUGCAAGACGAGUUAAACGAGUUUGAAAGAAACAAAGUAUGGCAUCUAAUUCCUACUCCAAAGGAUGCUUCGAUUGUCAGUCUCAAGUGGGUAUUCAGAAAUAAGAUGGAUAAGGAGGGGAGUGGGAUUCGUAACAAGGCUCGGUUGGUUGUAAAAGGAUAUUGCCAAGAGGAAGGUAUCGAUUAUGAAGAGACCUUCGCUUCAGUUGCAAGAUUAGAGUCGGUUCAAAUCUUUCUUGCUUAUGAUGCACACAAAAACUAUGAAGUCUAUCAAAUGGACAUAAAGUGUGCCUUUCUCAACGGGGAACUUGGUGCGAAGACUAAUUCUUCAAUCUUCAAGUGAUUCUGACUCAGAAUGUGCCACCAACUCAACCCACACCUCUUCCAAGUGAAUCUGACAACGAAAGCUCAGAGGAUGAGGGUUCAGUGAGUGGUCAUACACCGUCUCGCUCGCCUACACCAGAGGUACAUGUUCGGUCCAAAGCUCCUUCUCCUCCACCUGUUUCUGUUCCUGUUUCUAUCCCUCCUAUUUUUCCCAUCACUACAUCUCAACCAUCCACUACUAUUCCCAUUUUUGCUCCAAUAUUUACUGAAGCCACUACUACUGCCACUAUAGGAGUUCGAACCAACGUAUCUGAUACGGGGGCUCAUUCUUCAGCACCCACUCCUCCAGUCACUAUCGAACCUCCUAUAACUACCAGAACCCUAUCUCCCACCCAAUCUACCGAAACCAACACUGUUCUUGGAGGUGAGGACUUGGAGUUUGGUUCCACUUACUUCAGUCCCUACCGUGUCCAAAGUGAUGACGACGAAGAUGCUCCAGUAACCAAGCGCCAUCUCAAGGCUGUUACUGAAAAGCUUGAUCAGCUGCUUUCCUCCUCCUCCACUAGUGCUUAUUCUAAAGCGGCUCUUAAAGCUCUAUUCUCUUCGGUUGUUUAAGAGCAUGAUGCUUCUCUCUCUAGUGUAGCAAAGGCUAUCGAAGCGUCUACUUCUCAAUGUCAGAAGGCCUCGUCUGCUGUUGAGGCUUUGAUGAAGGAAUGUAAAGAAGCGACCGCAAAAGUCGAUAAACUAAUUUCUGAGGCUCAACUAUUCCUUGAUUAUUUGCAAGAUGAUGCUCAAAAGAACUCUCAGACAAUGAAUGCUUUGGUUGAUAUUCUUUAGUGUUCUCUUCAAGUUGAAAGGACUAAUCUUGAAGCUGCUCGUAAGGCCAUUGAAGCUGCCAAUGCCACCCUUCACACUGAUGUCAAUGAUCGUCUGACUCAACUGGAAGCAGAGUUGGCUGUUGAAAAUCGAAUAAUGGAUGAGUUAGACAAGCAUACAUCUCAGCUGAAAAUCCAAAACCUCAGGCUUUGUACUGCCACAACCGAACUUGAAGAUUUAAAGUCUGAAAGGGAAGUAACUAGAAGCUCUGUGGGUGACGUACAUUCCAUUUUACUACAUCUACUUGACGCCCAUGACUUCGUUCUAACUAUAUCCAUCAGACAUCAUUUGGCCGACAAACUUAGACCUGCAUUGGAUAUCCUUCGUCUGGUUGAGGGUGUUUCGGUGAAUUCUGUCAAGCCGAAACAAGGGGGAGAAAAGGAAAAGGUUACAACUCAACCUCCUCCCGAACCCAAAUCAACAACUGCAUCAAUGGAUAAUGAAGCUUCGGUCAGUAAAAGGGAUAAGAAAAAGAAGAAAAUUGGUGAAGAUGAUAUAAAGAUGAUGAUUUUGAAGAUAUUUUGGGUGAAAAUCCCUUUAACCCUUUUCAAAAAACAAAACUUUCUGACAAAGAGCUUGCAGAAAAGAUCAAGAAGGAAACGGCUGAGCUGGGGAAGAAGCAAAAAGAAAAGGAGCUCUUGGAGAAAAAUAAGUCCAUUUUUCCAGAGUGGACCAUUGAUUCGCUCCAAAAAGAUGCUAUAGAUGAACCGAGCACUUAUUGGAUCAAUCCUGUUAUGUCGUUCGGCCUAGAGAACUCGAAGGAUGCGCAGUUUGAUAUGCUAAUCACUGGAAAGGCAUUCAUCUUUUAUUGCUUCAACUCAACUGCUGUUAUUCCCUCUCCGGACCUGAAGGUUGACCGCGAUCUGUUAGAGUUUUAUCUGGAAUUUGCUUAGCCAUAGUACUUGACCUGGAGUUCACAGAAGAUUACAACUGUCAAGUUACUGAAGCCUUAUUUAGCCGGGAAAUUUAUCAACGUCAAAUUUAAAGUGACCUGAGGCUCUGAAGGCUCGGUUCAUAAUUUUUCCCUGGCUGAUCUACCGAACCUCAACCCUCACGACUGGAUACUCCUCAACAAUAUUUUGCUGUCCAAUCCUCAAGAGUAUCAGCCGAUUAUUGACCAUGUCAAGCGAAUGCUUGUUUGCUACAUUCAUGAAGUAGCAAAGAUGGAUCAGGAAAUCGCCUCUGCUAUUCACAAGUGAACCACAAUCAAACCAGUGGGAAGAGCUGGUGAUGUAAACACAAUGAUUAAGGUCAAAAUUGACAUAAAAUAUCACACUAUGAUGUUUCUUAGGGGCGAAGGUCAAAAGUUCUUGUUCGCUCUUGUUGACAAGCACUUGUUCUCACCUGCUUGCUUGGAGCAUAUUUUAGAGAUCAUUCAGAGGUGUUAUCAGAACUCAGCAGCUGACAAGAAGUUGUUUACUGAGAUGCUGAGAUGGUAUAUUCAAUUUCGGCAGACUCUUCUUGCUAUCAUUCCUUGGCUGUUCAAAGUUGUGAAGACAGACAAGCCUACUCACCGGAAAUAAUUUCUCGCUCCAUUUGACGCAAUGGAGGAGAUUGUUGGGCUUAUAGUGUUGCGUUAUGGGCUCGGUCCUUAGCCUAGUUUUGCUAUCUCGUUUAGGCUUGUCUAACCAUGAUUAUUUUACUCUAGGGUUUUUGUAUUUAAGGUGCAUGCAUGCGUCCUUAGUCAGUAACACUAUUAUUAUUUUUCUUAUCAGUAUUAUAAACCAUAGCUCGCCUCUAUAGUGGAAGUUCUUCAUUGAGCUCUGUUGAGGCGUGACUAUAUUUGAAUUAUAAGCUUUACAUUGAUUCCAUACUGUGUUCAUAAUUGUAUUGUGUUUGAAUUGUUUGUUCUUCAUCAAUAUACUUGAGAAAGAUCUAAACGAUCUGAGAUUCGUUCUCAUCAUCUGUCAUUUCCCAAAUGAUUUCCGGACCUGUGAGUGUGCUGUCAGGAAUUCGUACUAUAGCUACUGUGUGUCACCCACCUCAGCCCACCACAGAGGGGAUUUGCACUUCUGGCUAUAGAGUUCUUCAAAUGCAGCAGCCUUUAGCUCAUGUGAUAACUGUUAUUGUAGGAGAACUUGAUAAGGGGUAGAUGAAUAUCCCAUGCCUUUCCAAAGUCAAUCACAUGGGCUCGCAACAUAUCUUCCAAAGUUUUAAUAGUCCUCUCACUUUUUCUGUCGGUUUGCUGAUGGUAGGUUGUACUCAUGUCCAACCUAGUUCCUAGGGAACCUUGUCGCGACUGCCAGAACCUUGAGGUGAAUCUACUAUCUCUAUCAGAGAUAAUGGAUAUGGGAACACCAUGCAGUCGUACGAUCUCCCUAGUGUAUGUUCUCGUUAGUUUUUGCAUCUUGUCAGUUUCUUUGAUAGGAAGGAAGUGUGUGGAAUUUGUUAACCUGUCUACGAUUACCUAAAUGGUUUCGAGACCACCUAUUUCCUUGGGCAACUUGGUUAUGAAGUCCAUUGUGAUCCGCUCUAACUUCCAUUUUGGUAUCUCCAGUUGUUGAAGUAAACCUGAUGGUUUUUGGUAUUCAACCUUAACCUUGGUGCAAGUAAGGCACUUACUCACGAAGGUAGGAAUCUCUGCUUUCAUGUUAGGCAACCAGUAUAAGUUUUUAAGAUUCAUAUACAUCUUAUAUGAACCUAGGUAGAUGGAAUAUCGAGUGUUGUGCGCUUCGGUCACGAUCAAGUCUCUGAAACCACUGUGCCUCGGUGUCAAGAUCCGAUCCAUGAGAUAUAAGGCUUCGCCACCCUUGAGUUCCAAGCUUUUAUCCAUCCCUGUCAGGGAUUCACCGGCCACAUUUUCAGGUAUCAAGGCUUGAAGCUGAGCCUCCUUAAUUUGUGUGGACAAGUGUGAAUGGAUAGACAUAGUCAAUAAUUAGAGUUUACGACCAGAGUAUUCUUUCUGACUUAGGUCGUCAGCUACUAUAUUGGCUUUACCAGGAUGAUAACGAAUUUCACAUUCCUAGUCAUUGAGUAGGUUGACCCACCGUCAUUGUCUCAUAUUGAGCUCCUUCUAGUCGAAUAUAUGUUGAAGGUUCUUGUGGUCUGUAAAGAUAGUGCUUUUUGAACCAUACAGGAAGUGUCUCCAGAUCUUCAGAGCAAAUACCACUACUCCAAACUCAAGAUCAUGUAUGGUGUAUUUGACUUCAUGUGUCUUUAGCUGUCUUGAGGCAUAGGCGAUGAACUUACCUCGUUGCAUAAGAACACAACCGAGCCCUUGGUUGGAUGCAUCGCAAUAAACCACAAAAUCUUCUAUUCUUUCUAGGAGGGAUAGUAUCGGUGGGCUGCAUAAGGCUCGCUUCAACGUUUGGAACGGCUUCUCUUGUUUCUCUUCCCAGUCAAAGGCCACUCACUUCUGGGUCAAUGUUGUAAGAGGUUUCGCGAUCCUAGAGAAGUUAUGAAUGAACUUACGAGAGUAGCCAGCGCAGCCUAGAAAUUGAUGAAUUUUUGUAGGUGUCUUCGAUGCUGACCAGUUCUCAAUGGCCUUUAUUUUGGAAGGGUCCACGUGAAUUCCCUCUUCACUAACAACGUGACCCAAUAAUUUGACUCUUCGAAUCCAAAACUCGCAUUUAGAGAACUUUGCGUAGAGCUUCUCUGACCGUAGUGUUUCCAAGACUUGACGUAGAUGUUGACUAUGAUCCUCCUUACUUCAAGAGUAGAUAAGUAUGUCAUUGAUGAACACAAUGACGAACUGAUCCAAGUAAGGACAGAACACCCUAUUCAUUAAGUCCACGAAUACUGCAGGUGCAUUGGUCAAUCCGAAUGGCAUCACUACAAAUUAUUGGUGUCCAUAACGAGUUCGGAAGGCUGUCUUGGGAACAUCCUCCUCUAGCACUCGUAAAUGGUGAUACCUAGAUCUCAGAUCAAUCUUUGAAAAGUAAUUCGCCCCUUUUAGUUGGUCGAACAAGUCGUCUAUGCGAUGUAGAGGGUAACGAUUCUUAACGGUUUGUUUGUUCAGUUCUCUGUAGUCGGUGCACAUACGGAACGAUCCGUCUUUCUUCUUUACGAACAAGACCAGUGCUCCCUUGGGUGAAAAGCUUGGUCUAAUAAAGCCCUUGAUAAGCAGUUCAUUAAGUUGACCAAAUAGCUCCUGCAUCUCAUCUGGUGCUAGACGAUAGGGCAAUUUGGCUACUGGGGUAGCCCCUGGAACUAAGUCAAUUCUGAACUCGACUUGACGUUGUGGUGGUAAUCCUGGUAGUUUUUCUGGAAAGAUGUCGGGAAAGUUGCGUACUUCUGGGAUGUUCUUCAUGUAUUUACUCUCUUGGCUCAUAUCAACCACAUGAGCAAGGAAUCCAUGGCAUUCCUUUUGUAAGUACUUCUGGGCUUAUAUACUCAAAAUGAUACGAAGGUCCGUGUUUGGUUUGUCGCCAUAGAUGACUAGAGUUUCAUUAGACGGUAGAUUAAGGUGAACGACCUUUUCAUAACACAUGAUGUCAACACAAUGAAGACAAAACGAAUCCAUGCUGACAAUGAUGUCGAAAGUUUUAAUUGAGACACACAUCAGGUUGAUUGCAAAUGAAUGGCUAUCUAGAGUUAGGGUACAUCCUAUGUAUAUACUGCUAGUGCUCUCAGUCUUUCUGUUAGCCAUUUCUACAGUAAACAGUUCUUUAAGUACGCGUGCUUGUUGUUUAAGUAAGUGAGCAAAUUUAUGGUUAACGAAACUCCAAUCCGCUCCACUAUCAAACAAUACGCAUGCAUAUGAGUUAUCGAGGAGAAAUGUACCAGUGACUAUUGCAGGUUUGGCUACCGCUUCCUCAUGACCUAUAACCAAAACUCUUCCCACUCUGCCUGCAUUCCAUGCCUUCGGGCAGUUCCUUUUGUAGUGGCCCACCUCGCCACAUCCGUAGCAAGCUUGGACCAUACCAAUGCCAGGGACUUGUGUGAUUGGCCUAGCCGGAGACUUGCAGAAACAAGCCAUGUGCCCCUUCCUUUUGUAGUUAGCGCACUGCAUUUCCCGUCAGGGUCCGUUGUGGUUGAAGCUGCACUUGUUGCAUUUGGGUAAGCUUCCAGCAUACUGCUUCAUUGGUGCACUAGCAGUCGGUGCUAUCGCAGCAUGAAAAGCCACGACCUGCUGCUUUUUGGUAGAGUGCUACACCGUGUUCUUUUCUUGUUAUCCCAGAACUUCCUCUUCUUGUUAGAGUCCUUGGAGGGUUCUGGGAUGGCCUGGGUUGUUGUCGUUGUCAGCGUGCGGACUCCUUGGUCGAUGAGCCGCUGUGCCAAUCGCUUGGCACUAUAAAAGGUAGUGGGGUUUGAAGCUUAGACAUUCUCCUGAAAUGGAGGCACCAGCCCCCAACUAUACCUAUCGACUUUCUUUCCCUCAGUAGGGACCAUUCCCGGGCAUAGUGCCACCACAUCACUAGACCUGGCAAUGUAGGCGACUAUGCCGGAGCCCUUCAUGGUAAGGCUCUAGAGUUCCUAUUCAAGUUUCUGAACCUCGCCCCUUGGGAAGUACUCCUCAAUCAUGAGCUCCUUUAGUGCUUCCCAAUCUAUAACAUUAGCCACUAUCAGGGUUAGUGAGUUGACAUGGCUAUUCCACCAUGUCAAGGCUCGGUCCACGAAAGUGCAGGCAGAAAAUUUAACUUUGCUUCCUUCCAGACAUGAACAAAUCUCAAAGAUCGAUUUCAUUUUCUCGAACCAUUGCGAGAGGGCAAUGAUUCCGCCAGUCCCGUUGAAGGUCUUGGGCUUGUAGUUAAUGAAGUCCUUAUAUGAGCACUCUCUAGAGCGCACUGGAGGAUCACCUUGAGUAGAAUAAACUAUUGUACCACUAGCACUAAAUUGGGCUUAGGCUGUCGAAACAGCUGCAAUCACUGCAACUUGGAUAACUGUUGGAUUAUAUUAUGGAUGAGGUGGUUGCGUUGGAGUAAUUGGAGGAUUAUGCCUCAUUAUUCGGCAGGGAGGCAUCUUUCAACUAAAAGUUUACAAAGAUGAAGAUGAUAGUAAGAAUCAAUUGUGAUUACAACGAGAGUUUUCCAUGGACUAGAUCGCCAUAGCCCAACAAAAUAGGUGAGAAUAUCAUUGAAAUAAAGAUCCAACAGUAGGAACAUGAAAGUACUUGGAUAUAGAUUUCCUAAAAUAUUAGAUGUCUGUCAAUAAUAUUGGCAUUAAAGAUGUAACAAAUUCGAAAAAAUGACCUAGAAGUAGGUCUUACAUCAAACCAUAAAAAGAAAAUUUUGACAGAAUAAAGGUCUAACAAUAGUACUUGAAAGACAGGAAUAUUUAUAGGGAAAAGUGCUACAAUGAGCAUAGAUAAGAAGGCUAUUCCUUAAACCAAAAGAAAGGACGAGUAAAGCAUCAUAUAACGGUGACGGGUGCCCCUCGGGUGAAACCUCAAACCAGCCAGUUGACGCUCCAUGUCAAGAAGGUGUCGCUCAAACACUAUCUGGCGUGCUCCGAGCUUUAUGUCAUCAGCUCGGGUCGCAGCUAGCUCUUGCUGCAAAGCUUCAUUGUCUCUCACAGCUCUCCCAUGUGCAACUUAAAGACGACGAAUAUGGUCCGCGUUGGUGCUUGAAUCUGCUUCAAGUUCCACAGGUCGUUGAAUUGCUGCCACAGUUAGCUCAACAUUGCGAGCCACUCGGCGAACCAAGAUUGGAAGGGCCCUGUCUGCAGGGCCUCCCUCAUUGAGAUUGUAGAAGUUGCGGUCUCUGUUGUAUGGGAGAGGUUGGCUUUGAUCAUGGAUCCACCUAUUCAAACUCCUGACCCACAAUGGCGUUGGACCUUGGAAUUCAAUCCGGUGGUUAGGAUUUGGCAUUGGGGCCACUUGAGGUAGAUUCUCGACUUCAGGCUCAGAGUCAGAAUCCUCCGGGGAGUUUUCUGCGAAGUCAUUGUCUAAAGGAAUUUCAUGAUUUUCUUCUGGCUCUGCAUCCAGCCAUCCACCAUUUACUUGGUUGGGAAAGUACGAGUCGCCAGGGAGAUUGAAUCCAACCAUGUUAUCUACGCGAGAAUAAGGAUAAAAGAGAUAGUUAAUAGACGUAUUACUUCUGAUAAUUAUAGGAUCACCCUUACCAGUUACUUCAACACUUGUGUAGUGCAUACCAGUCAUAUGUAAUCAAAAAAUGAUAGACCUUCGAAUAAGUGACCCUAAUUCCAAGUCCACAACCAAAAAGGAAUUCUAGGUCUAUGACACCCUAGUCACAUAUAAGCUUAGCGUAUCCACUCAGCAACUAUUGACCUACUGAUAAAGACCUUUUAGUUCACAAAUAAGUAAUUAUAGUAACACAAAAUACACCUAUUGUAUUUUAAGUUUUACAUUCUGUUCUAACGUUUUCAUUGUAGUAGUGUUGGUAAGUUUUUUUUUUACUUGCUGCAACACCACAACCAUUCCUAGGCACAUGCUAGUCACUUCUCGGAAAGAUAUAGUUGAUCAGGCUAUAUCACUCCCAGAUCUAAUUAUUUGUCCCCAAGCCUACUUGUGCUGUCCAACAACCGCAAUACUUUUAUUCUGUCCUUGUAUGACACUGAUUUUAGUAUGAAUGUAGGUAUGUAUACUUUGGUUAAAUAUAUUAUUAUUUAAGAGUAUAAACUCUUGGUCAGAGUAUUUUAAUCCCGAUGUGUUUAUAGUUGUAUAUCUUUUAUGGGUUGAUAUACUCAAUUCACUAUAAACAAAGCUCUGAUACCAAUCUAUCACACCCCAAAACCGAAACGGCAUAAACAUUCAGGGGCGGAGGACGUCAUGUACAGUAUCAUAUCAAUCCAUAAUAGUAAACAAACAACAACAUCAUCAAUUGCAUUAAUAGUAUAAUUUAAUACAAGUGUGAUCUGUGUAUAGUUUGAAAGACAACAACAUAUGAAUCAAAAUAAAAGAUGAGUCUCGAAUGUGUUGCGUGUUCUCAAACCUAGUCAUUGGUACCUGUCUACUAGUGACCUGAGAAUACAAGUUAUUUUGAAAGAGUAGAUCAGCAUUUAAGCUGGUGAGUUCAUAAGUAUUUUAGUGUCAUUGUUUUGUAUGAAAGUGUUUGUAAAUGAUAGUUGUAAAUGUUUGAUGUAAAUGUUUGUAUCUCCUAGAAAAUCCUAUAUUUUCUACAUUAUUAUGAAAUGUAGUCUUCUACCAAGACCCGACUGUUUUGAAUGUUUGUUCUUUUGUGGAAGUGAGUGUGUUUCCCAAUUAUGAAUAUCAUUAACCAAAUAUAGUUUACAUUACCGUUUAUGUGAGAAUAUCAUAAUGUGAAUGCAAUGGGAAAAUAAAGAUGUACUGUGGUAUUGUAUAUAAGUAUCUACUAAUGUACUAACUACCUUAAAUCAGUUUGUUUAAUUAAGAUAAAAUGUGAUAUGAUUGUACCCAUACUUGAUUGAAUAGUAAAACACGAUGUUCGAAGACGUCAAAAUGGUACGACAUUCGUCACCCGAGACCUGCAGGUUCCACUGCAGCUAGCAGCAAGGUGUAGGAUGGUCAAUCUCAUACAGAUCUAUACACAAACUCAUUCUCUCCCUCCAGGAGACUCUGGUUACAAAACGUGACACAACAGUAUAUUGACAUGCCAUGAAGUAGUGGAUCACAUUCAUUUUAUAUUAUUCUUGUACUUGUAUAGUAUGUUCUCUCUGCUCUAGUGUAUAGUAUGUUCUAUCUGUUCUAUUGUAUAGUAUGUUCUCUCUGUUCUACUGUAUAAUAUGUUCUUUCUGUUCUAGUGUAUAGUAUGUUCCUCCUUGUUACUCAUUAUAGUAUGUUCUUUCCAUUUCACGUUAUAGUAUGAUUGAACUGACUCUUAUAUGUUUCAUUGUUCUUGAAAUAGUGAGUAGUAAUUAUCUAAACUAUACCUAUUAUAGUUUACUAGUAAUGUUAUUUGAAUGUCUGAGUAUGUUUGUACACCUCUGCUACCCAAAGGUGUUGCACUGAUGAAAGGGCUUUAAUAUCUAUACACAUAUACAUAAUAUAUAACUAAGAUUCAAACGACACUUAGACAAACAACUGUAUUCCUUAAGUCCACAACCAAACAAGGAACAGGAAAUAAAGUGAGUUAUCAAUCCUAAGUCCUUUCAACCUUAUUUAUAUAACUAAAUCUAUAUAGACAUGAUUUUGACAUCAUAUAAGUUUAAAAGAGUUUAUCAUAGAAAAUAGUUUUAACAUAAAAAGGAGUUUUAACAAUUUGAAUGGUUACAGAUGAUUUGAUGUCAGUUUAUAAAAUGUUUUGUAAUAGUUUGUUUGAUAAAACAGUUUGAAGUAUAAGAAAUCCACUUGUUCGAUAGUUAUUCAUCCCAUGUGAUUGAUAUAAUAGCAAUAAUGUUUCAACUUGUAGUCCCCCCCCAUAAAAGCAUUUAAAAUCAUUUAAAAGAUAAGUUAAGGGGUAUGAACUCACCUGUAGUGAGUGAUUCUAAUGUAAGAUCGAUACACGAUGCUAAGUGUGCCAAGUGAAGUCUCGAGCGCAAAUGGAUGCUAAUAAGCAUAUAAUGACACAUGUAUGUAUAUAAUUAGUGUAUAAACAACUAAUCAUGAUAGUGAAACAAUCUUAAGGACUAGGAAACACUUGGAUUGAAGUGUUGAAAUCAUAAUUGAUUGUUCUAAAGGAGUUCACGGCCUAACAGAGGGAUGUUCACGACCUUAGGAGGGUUCACGGUCCAUAUGAUUCUAUGAAGGUUCCACGACCCUUAUGAUGGGUUCACGGAUGUGAUCCCUUCAAGUUCAUGAAGAUGAUGAUUAAACAUGACAACUUAAGGCUAAGAUCUAGUAGCCCUUCAAGUAUGACAAGAUUUAAGAUGAAACGCUUAUGUUUUUGAGGCUUUAGAGUGUUCACGGUUGAACCUGUUUAAGACAGAAUAGAUAUGUUCAAGGUUGGGAGGAGGAGACAUGAAAAGAAAAUGAUGUCACUCUAAUAUAUAUAUAUAUACGAGGUGGUUCACGGCCGGGAACACCUUGUGAGUGGUUUUCUGAUUCGAUUUAAUCCUCCCGAUCACUAGCUAACUCAUCCUAGCAUCCAUUCAUACAUUACACUAGGAUUUGAAACUCUCAAACAAACACUUAACAGUGCUAAAAGAUAGUAGAAAGUAGUAUGACUUUUGAUUCAAAUGAAUGGUUGUACAAGAUAGAAAUUUCGGGUUGUCACAUCAUUUUAUGAAAAGUAUGUUUCAUAUUUCUCUACUUUCAUGGUUAAUUUUCUUAAUAUGAUCAUUGGAUUUCUGAGGAUCCUUACAUGGAUAGGAUCCUGAAAAGUUCAAAUCUCACAAGAACCUUUUACGAUCUGAUUAGCCUGAAACGAUUAGUCAUCAAGCUGGGAUCUUAAAAUAAUCAAGAUCUUUUAGGAUAAUAAACAUUUUUAUUUAUGAAAAUUAACGUUAAAGAAUACAUAGAACCCAGUUAUCCAUAGACUUUGGAGAAAUUUGAAGUUAUGAUUCCCUUAAUUUCAUAUGAUCCAUAUGUUCAGAGAAAAACUUACGACACACUUGAACAGACGUUAGAACAAGUAUGGUUGUGAAAUCAGUUAAUCUCAAUGGAUCUAAAAGCUCAACAAUAACAAGUUAAAGAGUUAGAUAGUUAGAUAGUUAGAUAGUUAGUUACGGAAAUGUAAGGAAGCAUAAAUGACAGAAGGUGAUAUAUCAAGUAAACACAUAAGUUGAUUCAUAACAUGGAAUGCAUUCAAGCCAAGUUAGUGAGUGAGAUCAAGCUUAGUGAUAUAGUCAUGAAUGACUUGCUCCGAAGAGAAGUAAUUAUUAGUUGGGUUUAAGAGGAUUUAGAGAGUAAUAAAGAUAUGAGAUGCGUAAGAGAAAUGUAAUUGAUAUACUUGAAGAUAGUUCAGAUUGAUAGAUGUGAAAGACUGAUUAUAAACUGUGAAAGAAUGAGCUCUAUAUAUAGAGACUCAAGAAUUACAUUUGAUCCACUCUCUAAGAGUAGCCAUACAAGGCAUACUGGACAAUAGAGAGUAUUACAUAAAAGAUAGAUAAAAUUAAACUAAGUAAAGUAAGUAAGACUACGGUUGGAUAGAUGACUUUGGAUAAGGCUGCUGAUGAGAGCUUGACUGCGGAUCCUUGUGGGCUGCGGUAGACUAAGUUAAGAGGGUCACUUCAUGUUUCAACAAUUUCCCCCUAAGUGACCUCUUUAACUUUCUCUUCACCUAUCAAGUUUAAGGAACUUUCUCAGAAUCCGCCAAAACUUCCUGAUAUUUUCCAACCAGGUGACCUUUCUUAAAAUAUCGUACUUGACUUCGGCAGUCGUGUGUUUCGAGUUUUCUACUGCGGUUCGAUAGAUUUGAAGUUCCUUCUUUGAAAUACGAUUCAUGGAGGUCACGAGAAUGAAGUAUUUGACCUGAUCGAUCUUCCUUUUGAAGAUGACUCCAAGUUCAGGGAAGUUUGUUGCACCUAGGGAACAUUCUUGAUAACCUUCGGUAGGCAUCGGUGCAGCAUCUAGUGGUGGAAGAUCGAACUUCUUGGCAUGGGUUAGGUGCAUGUCCGCAUCAAUCAUUGCGAAGUCGCAGAUGGUUUCCUUCAGAAAAAUGCUUGACCUUUCAAGUGAUAUCUUCAUUUUAGGAUACUUUUCACACUUGUUUUGGAACACCUUUGCUAUAAUAAAGACUUCUUUUGGGUUCAUACAGGGGAAGUCAGCUUGGGUGCAGACAUAGUCCUAAUUCCUUCUUGUGAGUGUGUGUUGAACAAAGUCAUCCUUCAUGAAUUUCCGGGGCUUGAAGUUCUUGAUUACGGAUGGUGUAUCGUUAGACCAGAUUUUCUCUGUGGGAGAGGCUUGUAGGCUACUGUCAAACUGCUCAAUUACUGUGAAGUAUUUAGCAUUUGGGGAGACUGGAACAUCCCAGUAUCCAUCAGAGGGGGUUUCAGCAUAGGUGAUAUAUGGUUUGUAGUCAUCGUCCAACAGUCUGCGGUGGGGAUUGAUCCAAGAUUUUAUCAAGGAUUCAUCCAUAACAGUGUCGAAACCGCAUACUCUCCAUAUGAGUUCAACAAUUUUAGCUGCUUUCCAGUCAGCUUUCUUCUGUUUGGUGACGGGAGAAUCAUUUGAGCUUGCAGAUCACAUGUAUAAAGCUAGAUUUUUGAAGUAAGGGGGAGUCUAAGGUCGUUUAGGAGAGGGUAUCAUUUUUCGUUGCGGUGGACGAGACUGAUUGCUUGGACUCUUGUGAGGAGAUAGUUAUGGUGACGGUUGCGGUGAAGGAGAUUUCUGAGAAGCACUGUUGGAUUGAUGUCCUUCUUCAUGAAGUUCUUUUUCUCGAUGGUCUUCAUCACUUCCCCCUCUUGAGGAGUUCAGACCCGAAGCCUCCUCAAGCCAUUGUUUGAGACCAUCGACCUUGGCACACAACUCCUGAAAGUGAGCUUUGAGAACAUCAGCCAGUUGCUGAUUGUGAGGACUCAUGGUGUUGAAGAGUAGCCGAUGAAUCUCCUUUGUCAGUUGGAGAAUUUCAGGACCAUGGAAAUUUGAAGAUAGGGAUCGUUGGAGUAGGUUGAUGGUUUCUUGAAGGACUGAGAUAGUGGACUCAUAAGCAGUGCGAGUCUCAGCUAUUAGUUUCUAGGAAAGAGAGGAUUGGUCCGCAAUGGUUUUUUGUAGAUUGUCUUUGAUUGGGGAUACCUCAGAGAUGAGGCGCUCCACAUCAACCAUGAAUUCUUUGUGAUCUGCUUGGCGAUUGUUGUCGACGGACCAAAUUCCCAUUUCUACUUUGAGAGAAAUUCUCUCAGCAACUAGACGUUCUCUAGUCUCCAAUCUUUCAAUCCUUUUGAUCAAGGACUGCGAUACCGGAUGGUCGUCUGAUUGCGGUUGAGUUAACUUGACUGCGGCAAGAAUUUGAUCUACUUUGGAUUGUAGACUUAAGAAUUCUUUUCUUGAAACGACCAUCUUCUUCUUUUUCUUUUUUUCCUUGGGCUUAGAGGUUGAGUGUUGAGAACCACUCGAUUCCUCUUCUCCGUUAGACAUCAUGAGGUCAGCAUCUGAAGGAUUGGGCUGAUUAACCUCAUUUAGAUCAACAUCAUCAAAACCGAAGGUGGGAGCAGAGCUGACUUCUAUUUUGGUGACUGCAUCUUGAGAGUCUUUGGCAGUUGUAGAUGGAGGGGGCUUUGAUGGAGUUUGAUCAACAGUCGCAUCUUGAGCUUUGCGGAUUGUAUUAGCCAUGUUGUCCAUCAAAGCGUGAACUUUGCAGAUAAUAGAUACGGUAUUGGCUUUAUUGAUUGCGUCUGCGCAAUACUUCGUUACGGACUGGAUUUGUUGUUGUUUUUGUUGCAGUUGCUUUGUUUGUCGUGCCUUUCUUGCUUGGAAUUCCCUACGGAAAGUGGCAUAUUUCUUAGCUUCGGCUUCAUUUGAUGGUUGAUACUUGCUCCAUGAAUCAUUGAGGUCAACUUUGUCAAUUCCUUGGUAUCGCACUGAGGUGUCCCUCGGGUUCACCGAUCCUUUCACAUUGGUGCUCACCAUGCCUAAACCACCUGUUACAUAUGUAAGCAGAGUAGGAUUUCCUGAGCUUCUUCGGUCUCCUUGACCAAGGGUCAAUUCUGGCCUCGGCUUAGUUCUGGAAAAGGCUGAAGAGUCGCCUUGCGGUUGGGAAGGUGUUUGGGUAACAGAAAACAGUACGGAGUUCAACUCCUGUGGGNAAGGUUCACACUCGGCGAGCCCCCCAUGGACUCGGCGAGUUCAUCAGGUACAUUGCACAAAAUCGACUUUUUUCAACUAUUUAGCACAAAUAACAAACNGGUAACAGAAAACAGUACGGAGUUCAACUCCUGUGGGGAAAAGAAGUGUAUGAUGGGUUUUAAGCAUUCUAACACUUCCUAAGUGUACAUGCAACCCUAAUAACCUUGGCUCUAUGUUUGUCUAAUUAUCAUGCAAAGUUGAUUUCAAAGGCUAUGAUCCUAUCUAGCAUAUAUGGGGAACAAUUUUAACUUGAAUAAAAGAUAGAACUACAUACCUUGUUGUUGAUAUUGAUCCUUGAAACCCUGUGAGCCUAGCACCCCAAGUGUGAUGCCUCAAAUGCUUCACACAACACCAAAUGCUAUGGAGUAAACUUGGAGAGAAAGUAUAACACUCUAAAAAUCGGCUCUAGCCCUCAAGCAUGUAUGUGUGUAGCCGAUUUUGGGAGCAACAUGAGCUUUAUAUAGUGUUGACACAUUUAGAGUUACACCAUGUGAACCCUAAUGUGUCAUGACUCUUCAUUUCCAUGACCCAUGGGUUGGUAACUCCCAUGGAGCCUCCAUGGAGCAUCCAAUGGGGUCAACCCAGCUUGAUUAUCCAUGGAGCCUCUUAGCCCACUAUAUAAGUUAUGGAUGAUUUACAUAAUCAACCUAUGUAUUUAAUUAGUUAUCUUUUGAUCACUUAAUUAAUUCUAAAAUUAAUUCUUGAUCAAACUAAUUAAAUAAUAUUAUUAAUAUAUUAGAACUUAGAAUAUAUUAAUAAAUCAUAAGUGUUAUUUCUCUCAUUUAGUCUAUCCAAUUCCAUGGUGCCAUGCAACCCAAAUGGACCAUGUCGGGUCGGGUCAAGUACAUACUGGAAAUAGUUAUGGACUUAGACACCUUAUCCAACAGUGUGGACGGGAAGUCCUGGAGAUCUUAGGGCAGGAGUCAGUUCCAUCCCCUUGGGAAUGACCUGGGGGUGAAUCUCCAGGUUGCGGUGAAGUAGACGCACCAUCUACGUCUGAGUGGUAUUGGAUGGUUAAUUCGAAUGGGUGUGUGGCCACCCCAAGGACUACUAUAGCCUUUUGAGAGGCUGCAGUAUCAGUACGGUCACGCAUUUGGCCUGUGGGAUUGGUUUUUCUUUUCUUGAGGAUUGAUAUCGAUUGAUCGUCCGCAUCAAAAUCACUACUAGAGGGAGAUUGAUGUUUGCUUCGUUCGUCAUUUGUUGGCAGAUUUAGGAUGAUCUUUGUUUUCUUUUAAGGAUUAGCUACUUUGGGAGCAUCCUUUUUCUUAGGAGCGCCUUGUUUCUUGGUGUGGCGAGGACCUUGAUGACCAGAGGCUAACUGUUUACGUCUUUGUGAUAAAGACAGGUUGGAAAGAGUGGUGGAAGAUGGGACUGCGGUACUGCCAGGGGCAGUAAUUGCGGUUGGGGUUUGCAGAGGCGGGGUAGGAAGGUAUGGGCAAAUACCUUCGGUAGCCUCAAUAUGGUCUGAGACAUCAGCAGUUUCAAGACCGAGAGUAGAGAGAAUGUGGGUUGGUAGUCUUCUAAUGGGUACAAAAAUAGAUUGAUCAGAUGAGGGAUUGUACCUUUUGAGAUCUUUGGUGAGAAAGAGAUUGAUGUCGUUGCCCAUGGUAUGUCUUGUAUCCACAUGGAGAUUUGAGAUGCAUAGAGACCACAACCUUGCAAACAUGAGUUUGGUAGGGUUGUCUCUUGGGCUUUCCUUUGGAAUAUAUUCUAAGAAGCCGUCCCAUAGUAUCUGACCGUAGUUAAAGUCAUGGCCAGUGAAGAUACUCCACACCAUCUCUAGGAGCUUGAGUCCCAUAUUAUCCGUGCCUCCGGUUCUGCCAGACAGACUGCGGAUCACAAAGUGGCCAACAAAUUGCCAAACCAUAGGCUGUUGAUUUUUCUUGAAUUCUCCAAUUCCUUUGAUCUUCUUUUGAUAAUCCAUCUGGUAAAGUUCAGAAAGGAUGUCCGCCAUGCUUGGAGUGAAAAACAUGAUUGAAGGAUGAACAAGGAGGUUGAUGGCAGUGAAAAACUUUUCUUUAGUCAGAAUGACCAAAGAAUCAUUAACAAUGUUCAGAUGCACUUCUUGAGGAUUCUUGAGUGGUCGAUAUGCUGGGAAGGCAAAUUUGAAUAGGGUUGAAAGAGGAACCAUAUCUGUGAAAGAAUCGACGGGUCCAAACAGUGGGUGCUUGGACAAAAACUUGAUCAACAACUUUGUUGGAGCAUUGUAGAAGGAAUGCUCUUCGAACACAGCCCUGAAAUUGCUUGAGGAAAUCGUAUGCAUUGGAUGUCUUGAAGCAGAGUCUGAACCAGUAGGGUUUGUUGAUCCAGAUGCCUUGGAGUGUUUCUUGGAGAUGUUGGAUUUCACCAUUGUAGGAGGUUGAAGAAGAUUUGCAAGAGAAAAACAGAGUGCAAGAAAAAGGUUUGAAGUUCAGAAAGCGUAAACUUUUCCUGGGGAAGAAGAAGGGGUUUUAUAGUGGCUUAUUGGAGUGGGAAAAGAUUUUACCCUAAGUGAAUUUAGGUAAAACGUUUGGGUGUUUUUCUUGGAUUAAGAGAGAUAAUCUCAGCCACAGAUUAAGAAAAAGUAUUAAAUCUAUAUUUUUGAGAUUUACCAAAAAGGGUUUGCAUUUAAUGAAGUGUCAGGAUCAAAACCGACGUCUAGAGAACGUGUGGUGAGGGAGAGAUUAAUCCGUUGGGUAAAGGGAAGUUGUAAAGGAUUAGACGAUUUAGGGUAAUAGGAAGAGACAGAUUAAAAAGGAUUUGAUUUUGGGAAAUCUCUCUCUUUGUCAUCAUACCUAAAAUAGGUCUAACACGAGGUUUAUUCAAAAAGAAUGAGAUAGUUACACAAAGAAUGUUUUUUUCAAUGUUUUCUCUAUUUAAUGAAGGAUCAUUAAAUAACACACCAUGAUUUUUUUUUAAAUAAAUGUAACAAAUUGAAAAUUAAUUAAGGCGACUGCAGAUUGAGAAAAUGAUUGCGGAUUGAAAACUUCAUUGCAGAUGGAUCAUUCGCCAUCGGAUGGAUGAUUGCGGUAGAAGAACGUAGAGGAUGUAACACUCGUGUUUCUAGCCUAGGCAUUUAUAUUGAGUUGAUAGUCUAGGUUAACCUUUGUAACUCAUUUUGAAGAAAUGAAAAGGAAUUAUGUGAAUAUUAUGUGAAUUAUGUGUUUUCUGCUUAAUUAUUACGGUUUAAUUAAUUAAGAAUAAAAAUAAGCGUCAAAAUUAAAGUGUGAGAUAAGCGCGAUAUCUUUACAUAAAUUUGUAAAAACAAGUAUUUCGGGGAUAUAAAGAAUACCAAAAUCCGAGUUAUAACGAAGAAGUUAUGACCUGUCGAAGUUUCGCGACAAAACCGACACGGUGCUGAAUGUCGUAAAAAGUGAGUUUUUGAUAAACUACUUUUUAGCCUUAGUAAUCUAAACGAAAGUCGUAGUAUUCGUCAAACCGAGAAGUUUAAUAAAAAGAACGCCCAAAUCUGACUUCCUAAGAGGAAGUUAUGAUUUUUCGAAGUUUCAACUUAGCAGUAGACAGCUAAAAACUCGAAUUUUAGAUCGAGCGAUUUUUAGCCGACACAACCUAAACCAGAAUUGGAGUUCUCGUCAUUAGCAGCACAACGCUAAAAAGUCUGACGAAAACGGACGUCGGAUUAAGAAGUUAUGAAUUUUUAACGGAUUUCCUGUCCCGGUCUGUUAAAAAUAAUAAUUAAAAAAUUAAUUCAAAAUUAGCCGAUGAUGUCUAAACAGAAGUUGUAGAGCCUAAUUUUAGCUACGAGUGCAUAUGAAGAACGUCAAAAACGGAGCUCGUAUGCGAAAGUUAUGUAUUUUAGAAGUUUUGGUGCGAAAAUCGAGAAAAUUCGCAUAGUAACACUUUGUCACGUCACCCUCGCUGAAAGAGUGCCACGUGUCCUUCUGAGUCACCGAGCUGCUGAGUCAUGCGAAGCCACGCGUCGGAUCCUGAUUCGACCGAGGAGGAGGCCCAAUCCGAAGCAGCAAGCUCUUCCAGCCGAAGCUUCGCCCUGCUGCCGUGUGUGGUUGGGAGGAAUAACCACGAGGGUAGAGUGGAGAGAAAUGGGUGCAAGUAUAAGGACUUUAUGACUUGCAAGCCAUCGAGCUUCACUGGAAAGGAAGAUCCCGUUGGAGUAAUGGACUGGAUCUCAUAAAUGUAGUUGGCUUUCAUGACUUGUGAUUGCCAAGGCAAGUUACAAACUACCUUUGCAGUACCUCAGUUCAGGGGUAGUGUUGCUCGUUGGUGGAGCAAUUUGGGGAAAACCCUAAGCCCUAAUAAGCCACUGCAAUUAACUUGGGCAGAGUUCUUAGUGCACUUCAAGCGCAAGUACUGCUCGGCCCAAAAUGUACUUGAGUUAGAAAACUAAUUUCUAAUGUUGCAGAAGGGGAGUAUGACCGUUGACGAAUAUACGAAUAACCUCACAGACAAAAUGGAGUUUGCUUUGCGUAUUGUCCCAGAUGAGUUGGCAAAAAUAGACAGGUAUGCAAAGGGACUUCCAUGGAAGUACGCGGUGCCAGUACGUCAGACACUUACUUUGGAGGCAGCUAUCUGGGUUGCCAAGUCUGUUGAAGAUAUGAUAAAAGGGAGAGGCGCCAGCAAGGUUGAAUUUGGCGAAAAGAGAAAGUUUGAAGGAACUUCAGGUUCCAAUUAAAGAACAAAUUCUCGAAGACUGGUUCGAGAAAGUUUGGAGGAGGAGCCGAAGCCAAGUGGUGUGACAAGUGUAAGACGAAACAUGCUGGGAAGUGAAGCGUGGAAGUCACUUGUGACAAAUGUGGAAAGCCUGGGCAUUAUGCCAAUGAAUGCACCUUCAAUAAGAACAUAUGUUUUGGGGUGUAAUGAAGAAGGGCAUAUUUUGAGGGAUUGCCCGAAGAAGAAGGACGCAGCAAAACCCAAUCUACCACCAAAGCCGAAGACGAGAGCCUUUCAGAUGACACUCGAAGCUGCGAAAGAAGAAGCCGAUGUCGCUUCAGGUACCUUUCUAGUAAACAAACUGCCUACCCAAAUUUUGUUUGAUUCUAGAGCCAAUUACUCCUUUAUAUCACAUGAAUUUGGUAGAAAGCUAGCUUUGCCUGUAGAUAUGCUAGUAAUGCUAUAAUAGUCGAGAUUGCUAGUGGCAAGUUUGUAUCUGUUAGCCAUCGUAUGAAAAACAUCCUCAUUGACUUGGAUUGGAAUAAGUUCCAAGAGGAAUUAUUGCCUAUCGAGUUAAAUGGAUUUGACAUAGUUUUAGGAAUGGAUUGGCUUAGCGCCAACGAUGCAGAAAAAUUAUGUAGAAACAAGAUAGUAAAAGUAAACCCGCCAGGGAAAGAGUCGUUUAUGGUGUAUGGAGACAAACGCAGAGUAAAUUCUGGAAUCAUUUCCCUAAUGAAAGCCAGAAAGUGUUUGGCCAAGGGAUGUACAUCAUAUCUAGCGUUCGUGAUCGAUGCUAAGAUGGAAAAGAAGGAGGUGCAGAAUAUUCNUCCAGAAGUCUUUCCCGAAGAUCUUCCUGAAUUGCCCCCUGAUAGAGAAGUAGAAUUUCGUGUCGACUUGUUACCAGGAACGAUGCCGAUAGCAAAAGCACCAUAUCGAUUAGCACCAACGGAAAUGAAAGAACUUAUGACACAACUCCAGGAGUUAAUCGACAAAGGUUUCAUUCGACCUAGUUCAUCGCCCUGGGGAGCCCCUGUGUUAUUUGUAAAGAAGAAAGACGGGAGCAUGAGAAUGUGCAUCGAUUACAGAGAGUUGAACAAAGUGACGAUAAAGAACAAGUACCCGUUGCCAUGGAUCGACGACCUAUUCGACAAGUUACAGGGUUCGAGCUAUUUCUCGAAGAUCGAUCUUUGUUCGGGAUACCAUCAACUAAAGGUGAGAGAGCAGGAUAUCGAAAAGAGUGCGUUUAGAACGAGAUAUGGACGCUAUGAAUUUUUGGUUAUGUCGUUCGGAAUAACCAAUGCCGCAGCAGUUUUAAUGGAUUUGAUGAAUAGGGUUUGUAAACCAUUCUUAGAUAAAUCUUUGAUAGUAUUCAUAGACGAUAUCUUGAUUUAUACGAAAAGCAAGCAGGAGCAUGAAAAGCAUCUGCGUGAAGUGCUAGAAGUCUUGAAAAAGGAGAAGUUGUAUGCAAAGUUCUCCAAAUGUGAAUUUUGGAUUCAAGAAGUCCAAUUUUUAGGUCAUGUGGUUAACCAAGAAGGAAUAAUGGUUGACCCAGCAAAGAUUGAAGCUGUAAUGAAGUGGGAACAACCAAAAAGUCCUACGGAGAUUCGAAGCUUUUUAGGAUUAGCUGGAUAUUACCGAAGGUUUAUCCAAGGCUUUUCUUCGAUUGCUACUCCAUUAACAGCUUUGACCCACAAAGGAGCUACUUAUGCUUGGAAUGAGAAGCAUAAGGAAGCCUUUGAGAAGUUGAAGAAGAGAUUGUGUGAAGGACCGAUUCUUUCGUUGCCUGAAGGAGUUUUUUGACUUCGCAGUUUAUAGCGAUGCGUUUGGAGUUGGGUUAGGUUGUGUUCUGACCCAAACAGAUAAAGUGAUAGCGUAUGCAUUGAGGCAGUUGAAGGAACAUGAAAAGAACUACCCCACUCAUGAUCUGGAGUUGGCAGAGGUAGUAUUUGCCUUAAAGAUAUGGAGGCAUUAUCUUUAUAGCACAAAGUGAAAACUUUUCACUGAUCAUAAGAGUCUCCAAUAUCUCUUUAAUCAGAAAGAGUUGAACAUGAGGCAACGACGCUGGCUAGAGUUACUCAAGGACUACGACUGUGAGAUACUUUACCACCCUGGUAAAGCAAAUGUUGUUGCUGAUGCUCUCAGUCGGAAGGUAAACCUUGAAAAGAAAAGUCCAAGAGCGUUGAUAAUUGAAGUUGUCUCAAAAAUUGUCGAAAGUAUAAAGAAAGCUCAAGAGGAAGCUUUAGAGAAAAGUGACCGAAAGGAAGAACGUUUGGGCAAAACGUUAGUGUUCGGUACAAACAACCAAGGGUUGAAGGUAUUCCAAGAUAGGAUUUGGGUACCUUGGACCGGCAGUACAAAAAUGUAUAGGGAUCUAAAACCCUAUUAUUGGUGGCCGACGAUGAAGCUCGAUGUUGCUAAGUAUUUGGCCGAGUGUGUAACUUGUGAUAGGGUUAAGGCACAACAUCAGAAACCGUAUGGGAGUUUAGAACCUUUACCCGUACCCAUGGGUAAAUGGGAAGACACCACCAUGGAUUUUGUGACUAAACUGCCCAAAACAAGGAAUGGUCACAACAUGAUUUGGGUGGUCGUUGAUCGUUUCACUAAGAGUGCGCAUUUCAUAGUAGCCAAAGAGAAAUGGUCUAUGGAUAAACUUGCGAAUUCUUACGUGAAGGAAAUUGUGAGGCUUCACGGUGUUCCGCUAACGAUUGUAUCCAAUCGUGACAGCCGUUUUACCUCGAGAUUUUGGAGGAGUCUACAAGAGGAAUUGGGUACUAAGUUGUGUUUGAGUACAGCUUACCAUCCGCAAACCGAUGGUCAGAGCGAACGAACGAUUCAAACAUUGGAGGAUAUGCUGAGAGCAUGUACCCUAGAAUUCCAAGGUAACUGGGAUGAACACUCACCUCUAGUAGAAUUCUCCUAUAAUAAUAGUUUCCACUCAAGCAUCAAGAUGGCACCUUAUCACUCUUUGUAUGGGGAGAAGUUGUGAACAACAUCAUGUUGGCUGGAAGCUUGGGAAUGCAGUUUAUGGGACCUGAAAUAGUCCAUCAGACUGCUGAAAAGUUGAAAGUGAUAAGGGAAAGGAUGUUAGCUGCUCAAGAUCAACAAAAGAGUUAUGCUGACAAGAAAAGACAACCGAUAUCCUUUGAUGUUGGAGAUUCGGUUUUACUUAAAGUCUCGCCGUGGAAGGGACUUAUAAGAUUUGGUAAGAGAGGGAAGUUGAGUCCAAGAUUUAUUGGACCAUUUAAAGUUCUUUAGAGGAUCGGGAAUCAAGCUUAGAAGCUAGAGUUACCGGAAGAACUGGAAGAUAUUCAUAACACCUUUCAUGUGUGUUAUUUGAGAAAGUUCACAUGAGAUGUGCCCGACAUAAUUCUGAUUUUUGAGUUAAGGUUGGAUGAAAACAAGUGGUUGAUCGAAGAACCUGAGGCAAUCGUUGACCGUAAGACUAUGAAGUUGCGACGCAAGAUGGCCGAUUUAGUGCUUGUGCAUUGGAAAUAGAAGGGGACCUGCAAGCCUUCUCGGGCAGAAAUGAAUAAUUGCCAUUUUCACCCCUUUCUUCAUCCUUUCUUCAUGUUAACCUUCCCCAAAGCCCCGGUAUCGAUUUUAAACCCCGGAAUACUCCACGAAGUGCCCGUGAAGCCCGGAAAAUUUAUCUUUUCGGUUUCGAAGCCCGACUUUUGUAGAGCCCGGUUUCUCAAUAAAACUCCCGGUUUUAUUUGAAACUAUCGUUUUAGGAAACGAAUUGUUGGCCGAUUUUCAUCAAAACAUGUGAGUGUGUAGUUACUUUCAAUUUACACAUAGAUAUGAAUUAUUUACCUUGAAAUACGUGUUAUGUGUAAAUAUGUUAAUUGUUUAUUUAAGGUGACUGUUGAAUUGAUGUUUUAUAAAAGUUUUAAACUGUAUAUGUUUUUUAUCUACAAAAUAUGUUGGGUAGAACAUGGGUAGAUGAAAUAGUUGAUGUGUGUUAAAAAGGUGAGAGGCCUCGAUGUUGUUGUUGUUGUUGUUGUUGUCAUCUAGCGGAGUAUAGAUGACGACCGUGGACAUUUCUAGACAGUUCAGUGGAACACUAGCAGGUUCGCAACUUGUAGGUGUUGAUGAAUUAAAUGUUCAUUGGUGUACUUCAUCCCCCUCAUGGUUGCCUUUAGGACAUGUAUGGCUGAGGAAACCUCUUAGCAGUAGUGUCCAUCCCGAUGAUAUUCCUUAGACUAGGUCCCUUGUGACAGGUGUUUAGGGACGUAAAGUGACGACAAUGGGAAUUGGUAAUCAGGGUUAUUGUUGAUUGGUGAACUUAAUAAGUAUAUUAAUGUGGGAUGAAAACCCUAUAUGCUCACCAGGCUCCCAAGCUUCACCCACUCAGUUUUAUGAUUACAUGUAGUGGACCCCGAGCAUAGUUGGAGGACGAUGAGAGAUUUUUGGAUUAUAGGCCAGUAGUUGUAAAUAACUGUUGAAAGGCUUAUAAUCUCUUGUUUAUGCUUUUGAUCUGUAUCGGAACAUGACAUCCCGAGGUUUUGAUAUGAAAUUAAAGAAGGUUUUGAUAACCUUUUAUCAUGUUUUGUUUUGGGAACAAAUUCUGGAACAUCUUUUAAAAAGAUUUCUCUGAUUUUAUUUUAAAAAGCAUAAAUUAAAUUGGUCUUUUCUGGCCGAGAAAUUAGGGGAUGUCACAGAGGAGCACUUGAACAAAGAUUAGAAUUAACAAAAAUAAGGACCAUUGAAAUAUAAGUAUGAUAUAUGGUUGCGGUACAUAGGAUAUAGCAAAACCAUCUACGAUAGAUAACUUCACCUAGGACCACAACAGAGACCAAGGAUGGUCUCCUGUACCUAUUAAUCCAAAAAUAAUUGUGGGUCCGGAUUCAUCAUUCCUAAGAUUUGUAAGAAACUAUUGAUUUUGGAAGAGUCAAGUGCCUUUGUGAAUACAUCAACAAUCUCUUCACGAGUAUGGACAAAAAUUAGUUCAAUGUUACCUUUCAGGAUGUGGUCUUUGAUGAGUGAUACCAUAGUUCAAUGUGCUUGGUCUUGGAGUGUUGAAUAGGAUUGUGAGAAAUCGCUAUUGCACUUUCAGAGUCACAAUAGAUUGGUAUCCAAAGCGUUCUGUAUACGUAGUCCGAUAGUUGUGUUUUCAUCCAUAAGACUUGAGAUCAACAACUGGUUGCGGCCACAUAUUCAGCUUCUGCGGUAGACAAUGAUACACAAUUUUGUUUCCUUGAUGACCAGCAGAUGAGUCUUCCACCCAGAAAUUGACAUCCACCUAAGGUGCUUUUACGAUCAAGUUUACAUCCGACAUGAUCCGCAUCUUUGAAUGCUUGAAGGCUGAAGUCGUUUCCUGCGGGGUACCAUAAUCCAAGAGUUUUGCUACCCUUCAAGUACCGUAGGAUUUGCUUGCUUGCGGUCAUGUGUGACAUUUUUGGGUCAGCCUGGUACCUUGUGCAUACACCCGUUGCAAGGACUAUAUCUGGUCAGCUUGCGGUGAGGUACAUCAAAGAGCCAACAAUACCUCUAUAAGUCUUGUGAUCAACAGAUUCGGCUAAGGGAUCAGCAAAUAUCAUAUAUUCGAAGGUUGUCGGCACUUUAGCCGAAGAACAGUUGUCCAUUAAAUAUUUCUUUGAGGGACUUGUUUCACUUGAAGUCCCAGAAAGAAGUUAAUCUCUCUAUUCAUGCUCAUUUGGAACUUCGUGGUCAUGAGCUUAGCAUAUUCAUUCACCGUAUUUUGAUCAGUUGAGCCGAAAAUGAUAUCAUCCACAUAUAUUUGUACAAGCAUUAGAUGAUCAUCAUUUGAUUUUCUAAAUAAGGUGGGAUCAGUCACUCCUCCUUUGUAUCCGGACGAGACAAGAAAUUCAAAGAUAGUCUCGUACCAUGCUCUUGGGCUUGUUUUAGACCGUAGACUGCUUUUUCAAGCUUGUAGCAGUGGUUUGAGAAUUCAAGACUUUUGAAGCCCGAAGGUUGGUGAAGAUAAACCUCCUCUUUUAAUUUGUUGUUGGGAAAAACACUUUUCACAUCCAUUUGAUGAACUUUGAUAUUUUGUGCACUGUAUAUGCUAAGAAGAUCUGUAUGGCUUCCAUUCGUGCUACCGGAGCAUACAUUUCAUCAUAGUCAAUGCCUUAAGUUGGCUAUAUCCAUUGGCAACAAGUCUUUCCUUAUUUCUAACGACCGCAUCAAAUUCAUCCAACUUAUUUUUGUACACCCAUCUAGUGCCAACAAUGGUGUGGCCUUGCGGUUUUGGAACAAGCUGCCAUACGUUGUUACUUUUGAAUUCUUAUAGCUCUUCUUGCAUUGUGAAUAUCCAAUCUGGUUCAAGUAAUGCUUUUAUGAUCGUCCGGGGUUCGACCAAGGACAGAAACGUUGCAUAGUGACAGUGAUCGGAUAAGUCCUUGGAAGAUCGAGUCUGGAUUCUUAUGGAUGGGUUGCCGAUGAUUUUACCUGGUGGGUGGUCUCUCGUCUAUACAUGUAAACGGGGUUGCAAAUGAUCAAUAGUUGUGGUGGAGGGGAUGUCUUCAAUAUUAGAAGACUCUGCGGUUAGAGACGACAGCUCCUCCUGGACUUGAGAACAUCCUGCUGAAUUGUCUUGAACUGGGAAGGAGGGAUCAAAGUUUUCUUGGGCAGAUGGUGAGGGUUCCUCCUAGAGUGUAGAAGGUAGUUCGCCUUGAACCUGCGAAGGUUCCCCCUGGAUUGCAGAUAGGAGUGAUAUAAUCCUUGAAUCGGUUCUUGUGUAAAUGUUUUCUAUGUUUUCAUCAUCCAAAUCUGAAGAAACGUUUGAUGGUUGAAACUCUCUGCGGAUUGGAGCUACAUCUUCUAGUACUGGAACCUCGAUGGUUGUUGUAUGGUCCGGAGUUGAGUUUUCCCCCUCAACCGGCGAGAUGGAAGUAUUUAGUGAUACUUCUUCGGACAAUGUUGGACUAGAUACAUCAUCAUGCUGCUGGUGAGCUUCUAGAGACACAAGAACUUCGGAUAACUUGGUUGUAUCAAACAGAUCGAAGAGAUUGUCAUAGUUUACUUCAACUAGGUUUAAUGGACCCGAAGAGGCAGGAAUAUCACUUUCUAGAAUUGUUGUGGUUUCGGUUGAUAGAGUUGUUUUGUGGAUGUGAUAGUCAUCAAGUUUGACAUCGAAGCUUUCAAUUAUCAACCUUGUGCGUCCAAUAAGAACUCGAUAAGCAACAUUAUUAGUGGAGUAGCCAUGGAAGAUGCCUUCAUCAGACUUUGGUGCAAAUUUGUAGAGGUGGUCUCUGUUGUUCAUUACGAAGCAUCUACAUCCAAAUAUAUGAAAGAAUCAUACAUUUGGCUUGCUGUUGAGGUGGUCUCUGUUGUUCGAUUUUCUACACAACAUGUUGUGGCCAGUGCUUCGGCCCAGAAGUAGAUAGGAAGGUGUGCAAAGUUGGGAAUAGAUCUGGCAGCUUCUACUGGAGUGCGGUUCCUUUGUUCUACUACCCUAUUUUGUUGUGGUGUGUAAGGAGCUGAGAAGUUGUGAGUAAUCCCUUUUGAAACCAAGAAACUAUUCAGAAGAUUGUUAGUAAACUCGAUUCCAUUAUUACUUUGGAUACGUCUAACUGGUAACUUGAUAUGACGUUCAAUUUCCUUGAUGUAGUUGAUCAACACCUGCGGUGUUUCUGACUUGACUCGAAGAAAGAAGACCCAUGUGAAACGCGUAAAGUCAUCCGCUAUAACCAGUAUGUAUUUUUUGUGAUGAAGACAGGCUACGGUAGAUGGACCGCAAAGAUCAAUGUGUAAGAGUUCCAGUGGUUCAGAAAGUGAGGAGUCAAUCACCGUGGAGUGACUUGCCUUGAAUUGUUUUCCACACUCUCAUGCAGUACAGAGAGUAUCAUUGAUGAACUUGAGGAUUGGAAGACUUGUGACAAGUUCUCCGGGUACCAAAUUGUUUAUGUAUCUGAAGUUGAGAUGAGCGAGCUUGCGAUGAUAUAGCUAGCUGACUUUGGAUAUUGCUUGGGAUAGGAAGCAUAACUGUGUUUUGCCUAUGAUCAGAGAUACAUCCAGAGGAUAGAUAGAACCUUCGGAUCUGGACUUGAUCAGACAAGUGCUCCUAUCGCUUGUCAUUACAUAACAAAAUUGGUAAUCAAAUUCAACACGAUUGCCUACUUUACAUUGUUGACCAACACUGAUGAGAUUGUGUUUAAGGCCUUCUACAUAAGCAAUCUUUUGAAUAGAGAAGUUUCCCGUAGUGAGAACACCAUAACCUCAGAUUAUCCCACUCGCAUUGUUCCUGAAUGUGACAUCUCCACUGUUGCAAAUUGGCCUGAAAUCUCGAAGGUAUUCUAACCUUCCCGUCAUGUGCAAGGAGCAGGUACUGUCGAUUAACCAUUCUUCUUCUUGUUCCUGUUUGCACAAGGCCUGAAAAUUACACGGUUAGUUUAGGCAUCCAAACUAAUUUGGAUCCUGGGACAACAAAUGAGUUUUUUGAUUGAUGCAUGAAACGAGGUAGCAAGGACUGGUUUCAUGUCAACUUUUAAUCCUAGUCCUAGGUGUUUUUGAGUUUUUGGAGUGUUGUGCCAUUUUGAAAAGUUACGAGGUUUCUGAAAAUGAUCAGUUUUGACAUGAGAUAACCAUUUUUGAAAACUACAUUGACAUUGACAAGCUGAAAUUUUGUCUUUGGUUUUGGCACUUUGUUUGGUCAGCGGUCGGAAGGAUGUAGUAGAUUUGUGAGUAGUCUGAGGUUUGUAGGAUCUGACAUGUGUGCUGUUGGAAUUUGAAAAAGUUUAUUUUGAAGAAGAUUUAGCAUGUGAAGAUACCUUGGACCUUUUUCUAGGAUUUGGUAAAACGCCCUUCCACUUGUUGAAAUUUUGAUGUGAUUUUAAAAGUGUUGGAGUGGGUAAGAUACCCUUCCAUUUUGGAUCAUCUAAGGAAUAGAUUUGAAAAGCAUUGCUUCGAAAAGACCUUUGUUUCUUUUGGGUUUUGUCAGAUGAGUUAGGAAUGGAUGUUGAAACUGCACAUUCCUUUUUGCAUGCUUUCUUGAUGGGAGAGUUUUUCGAAAAAUAGUGAGCUAAAAUAAACUUUUCUGGACUCUUAGAUUUUGGAAAUCUGAUAUGUCUUUUAUUUUUAGAAAAGGUUUGUCUAUUUGUGCCUCAAGAUCGAAUAUCUGAAAGCCUUUUUUGCGAAAGUUUUUGGAGAACCACAAUCAUUAGUGUUCAAUUGUGGUUUCUUGGAAACCUUUGAAAAAUUUUGAAAACGAGGGCUUGACUCAUCAGAACUUGAAGAUUCAGGGUUUUGAGAGUAUUGACCUACUUCAAAGUUUUCUAUGGGUAGUUCAUGAUGAAUUGGCUGAAGAGUCACGGAGCUUCUUAUUGUGGACUUUGGUAAGGAAGACAUAGCUACCGUAGCGUAAGUCUGAGUUGUGACUGGAGUGGGAUUUUUCUAAGGAUCAUGACUGUAGUGACGGGCACUUCGGUCUAAGGAGAAAGGUGGAAAGUCAUGUAAGACUUCCGGACUUUCUAUGACAAUUUCUUCAUCAAAAACAGAUGAGGUCUGAGAAUUUGAGUUGAUUGUGCCACAAAUAGGAGUUUGAUCACCUGAGUGAUCCAAAACCUUAGGCACAAUUUCCUCAAUGACAAAAUUAUUACUUAGAUUAUGAAGUCUACUGUAGUGGGUUCUGAUAUCUUCGGGAAAAGUCUUGUCAUUGACAGGAAAAUGAAAUUCUCGAUCCGGAGGGACAUAAAGUUGAUCUUUGUUAAACUGGGGUGAUGAAUCCUCUGCGGUAGGAUAUCCAUUGGACCAACCCCAAUUGUAUGUAUUGUCCAUAGUUCCAUUAUUAACCAAAUUUUCAAUAGCUUGACUUUCAUUGAACAAUUUUUCUAUUAAUAAAUUUAAGCGUACCAUCUCACUUUGAGCUAAAUCUCUUUGGAUCAAAGCUAUCUUUAGUUAUGUUUCACUCAACAUUGUUGCAUCUUUUUCUAACUCUAAAUCUCUUUCUAACAUGGCCAUUUUGAGUCUUUUGUUGUCCAAUCGUCCUCUCACAUGAAACAUCUCUUUGGAUGCUAUGUUCUUCUCAUCUAAGGCUUUGUUGUAGUCUGUAAGGACGACAUCACAUGUGUUAUUAGGAUUGUCUAUGAAAGGUUGACAGUCAUGCAUGUUAUAGUUUAGAGUUUGGAUCAUAAGUUUUACCUGUUCGAUGAUGCUUAGAGUUCCAUCAUUUGCCAUGUGGCAGUAAUUCCUUUCCAAUUUUGUAGACCCAUCAUCAUCAAUAGUUGCUAGCAUGCAGAUCUUGCCUUUUCCUUUGAUAUUGCUGAUGGUUUCAUCUUCAUCUUCGGAUGACCAAACUUGAUGGUCUCUUUUGACAUGGGCCACAUAUGCCCUAGCCUUUUCCUUUUCCUCCAAUUGUUGACCCAUUAUAAGGUAGAAUGCUCUAUCUUUCACAAAAUUAUCUUUGCAAUCCUUUGCAAAAUGAUUCUCUUUGUUGUACUUGUGACAUAUUACAACAUCACUUUUGUCUUAUGAAGGAGUACCAGAGUCAGAGGUUUCAAUGGAAUGCGGUGCCUCCUUUGGGUGAGUGUUUUGAGAUUGUGGUGGCGGGUGAGAACUUUUAGGAUAAUGAGAGUGAUUGUUUUGUGGGUUGAAGUUACGAUUGAAAGGAGGUUUGCUCAAUUGUUGAUUCUUGCGAAAAGAGGGAGGUGGUAGCCAGUUGAACUGUUUACUAACAAGAGCAAUAUCCUUCUGAAAUUCCUCUUCAUCAUCAUACGCUUAGUCAGCUUCGUACGUCUGCGGUGUAGUGUCAUACGAGGCAAAGUAAGAUUGAUUAUGAGGAGCUGGUGCUACAAGAGCAAGUGGUCCUCCGAAGUCAGCACAAUCUUUGAGUACAGUGGAUUCUUGUGCUUGUAAUUCCCCAUAGAGCUUGUAGAGAGACAGGGAAUGAAUCUUUCUAUCUCCUUGAACUAUCAUCUUAGUAGUAGUCCAAUGUCUUCCCAAACCAUUGAGAAAUUUAAGGUUUGUUUCAUGGUUACUGCGGAUGGUGCCAACAUUUGAUAACUUAGUGACUAUUAGAUUGACCCUUUUGAUAGAGUCUUCUAAACUUUUUCCAGUAUGAGCUUUGAAGUUGUUGAAUUCAUUGAGUGCAGUUGUAAGCUUCUUAUCUUGAGCUUGUUCUUAGCCUUCAUACAAGUUCUUGAGAGCAUCCCAUAUCUCUUUUGCUGAUUUACAAUUUAUUAUAAUGUCGAAGUUGUCAGGAGCAACUCCAUAAGAGAUUUCAUAAAAAGCAAUAUCAUCAUUUUCCAUUUUAUCAAGAUAAUCUUUGGUGGGACGGUUCAUGACUGGUUGUCCUCCUCCUAGUCUGGUUGUGGCGCUAUAAGUUUGUACAGGUGUAAGAACAGGGACAGAUGGUCCUUCUUCAACAGAUAGCCAUACAUCUCCACCAAGUCUCCUUAAGUAUCUUUCCAUUCUUUAAGACUAGUGAUGGUACUCAUCUGCCACCAAUAUUGGAGCUCGAUUUGAACCACCAACACCGUUGGAAAUAUUCAGAGAAAGUGGUUGUUCCAUUCUUCCUUUUUUUGUGUGUUUUUUUUUUGUUUUAAGAAAUGAGCUUUAGUGGUAUAUAAGGCCCUUUGAAAAUCAGAGUUUUGUUUUUCAAAAAGCAACCACUACUGCUCUGAUACCAAUUGUUGAGAGGAAAACCUGAGACACACUUGAACAAACAUUACAACAAGUAUAGUUGUGGAAUUAAUUAAUCUCAAAGGAUCUAAACGCUCAACAAUAAUAAGUAAAGGAGUUAGAUAGUUAGAUAGUUAGUUGCGGAAAUGUAAGGAAGCGUAAAUGACAGCAGGUGAUAUAUCAAGUAAACACAUAAGUUGAUUCAUAACAUGGAAUGCAUUCAAUUAAACCAAGUUAGUGAGUGAGAUCAAUCCUAGUGAUAAAGUCACGAAUGACUUGCUCCAAAGAGAAGUAAUUUUCAGUUGGGUUCGAGAGGAUUUAGAGAGUAAGAAAGAUAUGAGAUGCGUAAGAGAAAUCUAAUUGAUAUACUUGAAGAUAAUUCAGAUUGAUAGAUGUGAAUGACUGAUUAUAAACUGUGAAAGAAUGAGCUUCAUAUAUAGAGACUCAAGAGUUACAUUUGAUCCACUCUCUAAGAGUAUUCAUGCAAGGCAUACUGGACAAUAGAGAGUAUUACUGAAAAGAUAGAUAAAAUUAAACUAACUAAAGUAAGUAAGACUGUGGUUGGAUAGAUGACUUCGGAUGAGGCUGUUGAUGAGAGCUUGACUACGGAUCCUUGUGGGCUGCGGUAGACUAAGUUAAGAGGUUCACUUCAUGUUUCAACACCAUAUGCUUUCGUAUGGAAGGAUCUUCACUUUAGAAGAUCAUCAUGAAGGAUCCAUGAUUGGGUUAACUUAGUAAGCUUUGGGGGUGAUUACAUCUUAGGAAUCAUAUGUACAUCACUCCAUCAUGGUAAAUAACUGAGGAAACUUUUGUUCGUAAUAUGGUAAUGUUACUAGUCUUGCAUAUUUUUGGGGGACUGUCCCAAUAUAUUAAUUUUGUACUUCUUAGUAACUUACUAGGGAAAAUCCCAAUUUAAGGUAAUAUGUUAGUGUAAAUUUCUAGGGAAAAUCCUAAACGGUAUGACAACAUGAAAAAUAUUAUAAACCUUAGGUAUUUUCUGGGGAAGUUGUUGAGAGACAAAAUUUGAACAAAAGUUGAUCAAAAUAUUAGUACAAGAUAAUAAGUGACAGCAAGUUAUAUCAAGCAUACACCAAGUUAAUUCAUAACAGUCAUUGCAUGCAUACACAAUUUAAUAAAUGUGAUCAACUUAAGGUGCGGAGGAACUUCGGGAAAUCAGUUAAGAUAGAAUAGAGAUGAAUGGUCUUUAUAUUUCGAUAAUAGUUCUGGAAGUUGGUAAUGUUACAUGAAGAGCGAAAAUUUAUUUAUAGUGUCCCUAAAAGGUACAUUGGAAAUAAUCAAAUACUAUUCUACUAAAUUUAGUGACCACGCAAGGUUUAUUGACAAAACAAAGUAAACACGCUAAGUCAAUACAAUAACUUGAAUGUCUUCAUUCAUCAUUCAUCUCUAUGGUAGACGUUGCAGUUGCGGUUCACGAAAAGAUCUUCUCCAACUUCGGCUGUUAACUACUUCUUCGGUAGCAACACCAAUCCAGACUACGUUUCCUUAGCUAAAGAGGGUCACUUUUUGUAUCAACAGAAGAUCCCAAAUUGUAUAAUAAUAUGAACAUGUUAUAAACCUUAAGUAUUUUAUUGGAAAGAUCUCAACUUGAGAUAACAUGUCAGUGUUAUUAAAGUUUUAUUAAACUUUAGGAUCUUAACUUGUGUUCCAAAAUAAUAGGGUUUUCAAGUCACUACAACAUGAAAUGAUCCCCUUAGUCACAUCCCACAAUAAGUUUAUGUGUGUCCAAGCAUGGUUUAGAAACCUUAACUCAUAUAAAAGAGAUACUUAACUCGUUAAACCUCAAUAGGGAUUAAGUACCCUUAGUCUCAGGAGAGACGAUUAGUCUCUUUUCGUACUUAUCUAGAUAAGUACCUAUUGCAAUCAUCAAGACUAUGUAUCUAUUAGGAUCCUUGAAUGCUAGGAUUCUCGAAUGUCAGGAUCAUCAAAAUAUCAGGAUCCCUACCUGUUAGGAUCCUUGAAUGUAUUAUUCUUUUCAUAAGAAUCGCAAUGAAGGAAGUUCUUCAAGUGCUUUAUUUUUGAAACGAAAAGAAUCAGUUCAUUCACCCUGGAGACCUGAAGUGGUUUGCGGUACUUAUCAUUUUAAAAAGUAUGGCGGGUUUGGGUUCAUCAUUCCUUGCAUUUCCAAAAGUACAUUUAACUUUGUAUCAUCUAGUGCCUUAGUAAAACGUUAGCUAUUUAUUUGUGUGUGGGCCUAAAAAUGAGUUCAAUGUUACCUUUGGGGAUAUGCUCUUUAAUGAAGUCAUACCGUAGUUCAAUGUGCUUCAUCUUCGAGUGAUGAAUAGGAUUAUGAGAAAUCUCUAUUGCACUCUCUGAAUCACAGUAGAUGAGCACCCGCAACAUCAUGUAACCAUAUUCCAUAAGUUGAGUCUUCAUCCAAAGGACUUGGGAACAACAAUUGGUUGCGGCGUCAUUUUCCGCCUCUGUGGUAGACAAAGAAACACAAUUUCGUUUCCUUGAAGACCAUCUAACUAAUCUUCCUCUUAAUAACUGGCAUCCACCAGAAGUGCUUUUAUGAUCUAAUCUACACCCAACAUGAUCUGCAUCUAUGAAUGCUUGAAGACUAAAGUCAUUUCCCGCAGCAUACCAAAUACCCAUGGCUUUGCUCCCUUUUAGAUAUCCGAAUAUUUGCUUGACUGUGGUCAAGUGUGACAUUUUGGGAUCAGCCUGGCACCGAGCACAUAAACCCGUUGCAAAUACAAUAUCUGGUCUGCUGGGAGUGAGGUACAUCAACGAUCUAAUUGUUCCUCGGUAUGUUUUUUAAUCAAAUGACUCACCGGUAGGGUUAGCUCAGAUUUUAUAUCCAAAGGCCAUCAGGAUCAUGGCUGAGGAGCAAUUGUCCAUCGAAAAUUUCUUCAACAACUCAAUGGCAUAUUUUUCUUGAUGAAUGAAUAUCGCGUUAGGGACCUGUUUAACUUGAAGUCCUAGAAAGAAGUUGAUCUCUCUAUUCAUGCUUAUUUGGAACUUGCUUGUCAUGAGCCUUGCAAAAUCAUCCACCAUACCCUGAUUUGUUGAUCCGAAAAUGAAAUAAUCUACAUAUAUUUGAACAAGCAUCACGUGAUUAUCAUUUUCUCGUCUAAAUAACAUGGGAUCAAUCACACCUCUUUUGUAUCCUAAGGUGACAAGAAACUAAGAGAGAGUCUCAUACCACACUCUGGGUGCCUGUUUAAGACCGUGUACUAUUUUCUCCAGUUUGUAGCAGUGAUUUGACAAUUCUAGGCUUUCAAAGCCUGGAGGCUGUUGCAAGUAUACUUCUUCCUUCAUUUCUCCAUUCAGAAAAGUACUUUUUACAUCCAUUUGUUUCACCUUGAUGUUCUUGUGAUCAACAUACGCUAGGAAGAUAUGUAUGGCUUCAUUCUUGCUACGGGGGCAUAUGUUUCAUCGUAGCCAACAUUCUCAAGUUGACUAUAACCCAUAGUGACUAAUUCAACUUUGUUUCUUACCACCGCACCAGAUUCAUCUAGCAUGUUCUUAUACACAAUCUUGUACCAACGAUUGUGUGACCUUUUAGUUUCGUUACUAAUUUUCGUACUUCAUUUAAACUCAACCAGCUCUUGAAUUGAAAUGAUCCAGUCGAGUUCCAAAAGCGCUUCUUCUGUAGUUCUAGGCUCGACUGAAGACAUGAAUGCCACAUAAUGACAAUGGUUAUUUAAAUCUGAAGAGGAUCAAGUUUGAAUACCUAAGGAUAGGUUAUUGAUGAUUUGACCUGGUGGGUGAUAUCUUAUCCAAACAUGUAGUAGGGAUUGGUAAUGGUCUAUGGCUACGGUUAAAGGAAUGUCCUCUAAGUCUGAGCACUCUACGGUAGAAGAAGGUAGUUCCCCUUCGCUUUGGAACAACUAGUUGAUGAGUAUUUGAUUGUAGAAAUGGGGCCUACAGUAGGUAAAGGAAGUUCCCCCUAGAUUGAUGAAAGAAUUUCCCUCUGAAUCAUGGAUGGUUCCCCCUGAAUUGAUGAGUGAUGGACAAUCCUUGGGUGCUAUCUUGUGUCAAUGUUUUUAGCGGCUUCAUCAUCAUAGUCUUCAGAUACGUUUGAGUGGAUGGUUACUCUGCGGGUAGAUUCUGCAGCAGUUUCUUCAAUUACUAGAACCUCUGUGGUUGUCGCUUCCAAACAAACUGGUCUUUCCCCUCAACCAAAGAGGUGGAAGAAUUGGGUGAUGUUUAUGCAUAUAUGAUUGGUCCAUAUACUUUUGCUUGUUGCUGUUGAGCUACCGGAGAUACAAAAAUAUCUCAAAGAUGAGAUGUUUCUUUAAGAUCGAAGAGGGUUUCAUAGUUAAUUUCUACUAUGUUCAAAGGACCCGAACAAAUGUGGAUAUCACUUUUCAUGAUGUACUUGGUUUCAAUCAAAGGAGGAGUGUUGCGAGCGUAAUACUCAUGAAACUUAACAUCAAAGGUUUUGACUAUCAGUCUAGUACACCGUAAGAGAACCAUGUAUGCAACCUUAUUGGUGGAGUAACUCAAGAAUACGCCUUCAUUAGACUUCGAUGAAAAUUUGUUAAGGUGAUCCUUGUUGUUGAUCACAAAACAACUGUAGACAAAAAAUGCGAAAGUAGCGGAUGUUGGGUUUGCGGUUGUUUAGACCUUCAUAGGGAUUCUUGUUGAGGCAUUUGCAAAUGGCGCUUCUAUUUUGAAAAAAGCAUGCAAUUUGCACUACGUCCGCCCAGAACUAUAGAGGAGGGAUGGCAAAGUUUCACAUCGAUCUAGCGGUGUCGACCAAUGUUCGAUUUUUUUCGCUCUACUACUCCAUUUUGUUAGGUGUGUAGGGUGCCGAGAAAUUAUGACUGAUCCCCUUGGAAACUAAGAAGUUAUUUAAGAGCUGGUUUGUAAAUUCAGUUCCAUUUUCACUUCUUAUCCGUCUGACAGGUAGUUUGAUCUAGAGCUCUAUUUCUUUUAUGAAGUUGAUCAUGAGCUACGGUGUAUCUGAUUUGAGUAUCAAGAAGAAGACCCAAGUGAAUCGAGUAAAGUCAUCAACUAUAACUAUAAUAUAUUUCUUGUGAUGAAGACUAGCUAUGGUAGAUGAACCGUAGAGAUCAAUGUGAACUUGCUUUAAGGGUUCAAAAAUCAAAGAAUCUACUAUCUGAGAAUGGCUACCCUUUGUUUGUUUUCGAGAAUCACAAGCUAAAAAUAAUGUAUCAUUGUUGUACUUCAGGAUCGGUAAACCACGAACUAACUCUUCAGCUACCAGGUUGUCAAUGUUUCUAAAGUUGAGGUGAGCUAGUUUGCAAUGCCAUAAGCAACUUACUUCGGAUACUGCUUUGAACAGAAAACACAACUGUCUUUUGCCAAUGAUGAAAGAGACGUCCAGUGGGUACAUUGUUCCUUCAGCUUGGGACUUGAUCAAGCAUGUGCUCCUAUAACUCUUCACGAUGUAGCUGUAUUCAUUGUCGAACUCAAUUCAAUGACCAACAUUGCAUAACUAACCCACACAGAUCAUAUUAUGCUUUAGACCCUCUACAUAAGCAACUUUUUGAAUAGUGAUGGUCCGUGUAGUUAAUAUUCCAGGACCCCUGAUUAUUCCAUUUGCAUUGUUACCAAAAGUGACGUGUCCACUACUACUGAUUGGCUUGAAAUCUCAAUUGUAUUCCAUCCUUCCAGUCAUGUACAAGGAGCAGUCCCUAUCGGUUAACCAUUCCUCCUCUUGUUCCUCCUUGCACAUUGCCUACAAAAUCAGAGGGUUAGUUUGGGGGCCCAAACAAGUUUCAAUCCACAAGUAACGUAUGUCACUUUCCUACCAAAUGCAUGCACAUGAGACUUAUGAAAAUGUUUAUUUUCUUGCUUCAGUCCAAGUCCAGGAAGUUUUACUCCUUAGGAAAGUCACGAGUUGGGACAUGACGUAAAUCUUGAAGUGCAUAAAAGCCAAAUGUAAGUAUCUUCUCGUUUAACCAAAAACCAUAUUUUGUCAAAGGUUCGGAAGGUGAAGUUUCUUUCUUGUGUCCGGUUCUUGAAUGGUGUUGUGCUAGAGUAUUCUUGGGAUUUGAAAAAGAUUUGUCACAUAGCCUAAACUUUGACUUUGACUUGGUAACUGAUUGAAGUGGUUUUGAAAGAUUUGGAGUUGGCAAAAUAUCCUUAAAAUUUACAUCUGUUAAGGUAUUUUGUAAAAAUGACUUGACCUUAUUUUUAUGUUUUAUAUAAAUGUUUUGAAAAGGUUUUGUUACUGAUUGAUCCUUUUUGCAUGCUCCAUCAACUACAAUAGUUUUUGAAAGAUUUUCUGUAGUGACGGGUUUUUCGGAGUUCCUUUUGUUUGAAGCUUUGACUGUAUUUUUGAAAAAUUUGUUCUUGCAAUCAACUUCCCGCUUUUCACGUCGGGAUCUGAUUUGCUUUUGUAAAGCCAAUUUUUCUUGAACUUUUCGUGAGACCACAUCAUUGACAUUCAACUGAGGUUUUUUGGAUUUUUGAGGUAAAAUUUGAGGAGUUGACUAAUCUGAACUGCACAUUUAAUGACUUUGAGAACAUUGGCGAUAUUCAAAAUUAUUGAUUGGUAUUUCAUGCAAGAUAGGCUGAAGAGUGGUUGCGCAAUGGACUAGGGUAUGCGGUAGGGAAGAUUGAACUGCCGAAAAAUAAGUCAAGGGUAGCUUCUCAUCGGGAGCCUCAGAAUGCAGAUUUUCGACUUUAGUUGCUGGAAAUGGACUAGAAACAUUACCCUAAACUGUUUUGGUACUUCAAAACUUGUUUAGAUGGUGUAAUGUCUUUGCUAAUCCAUUUACAACAACACGUUAUCAAAAUUACAAAGUUUUAAGUGUAAUUUUGAUUCAUGCAAGUGUUCAUGUUCAUGUUCUUGAUCUUAUGAUGUUUAGAUGAUCAUAGGAAUUGUUUGUAACCUAUGUGGUAGAUUAAUUCUUGAUCAUUAUGUGUUUUAAUGGAGUCCAUAACUUGUCCUCAAGUUAUGGAAAACCAAAAGUCACUUUGCUUUAAAACCAUUAAAAGAACACAUGGGUUAUAAAAAUGAAGAGUCUUCAUUUUUAAUACCCGAAUAAACUCAUAAGUUACAAGAAAUGAAAAGUUUUGAAAGUUUACAAAACUUGCCCUCAAGUUUUGGAACAAGUAAAGUCAUGUUAAAACAUUAGUUCCAACCCUUAGAAUUUUAAAAGUUAAAAUUCUUCUACCCUUUUCCUUAUAAUAUUAUAAGUUAAUAUAUAUAUAUAUAUANNNNNNNNNNNNNNNNNNNNNNNNNNNNNNNNNNNNNNNNNNNNNNNNNNNNNNNNNNNNNNNNNNNNNNNNNNNNUAUAUAUAUAUAUAUGUAUGUAUAAGAUCAAAGUCGUCUUACCGUUAGUACGCCUCAUUCACAAAGCCGGUGUAUAAGGUGGGUAUAAGAUUGUUGCCUAUAAAAUGACAACUUAAUGGGUGUCCACUCUCACCCACCGCUUGCUUGACUGGUGGAGGGUCGUUAGCCGAACGGGUAGGACAAGGACUUAUAAAUUCUCAUUAAAAGUAUGAUUAAUAUUAUAAAUUAACUAAAUGUUUUUAUUAAAUUCCCAAUCUUAGUUACUUUAGGAAAAAUGUGAAUAAGUUUCUAAUAAAUGAAAUUACACUUUACACUUUAUUUAAGUCAUUGGUGGAGCGUGUGUGGUUAACCAGCACACUAACUUGGACUUAACAAGGUAGGUAAAGGGUAACUUAAGGUUUAUC